GCCACACACAAAGCACAAGCUCUUCCAGAUGGUCUCUGUUCAUUUAACUGAGAACAGUUGCUUUCAGCAGCUUACCUUCCCUUGAUAGUUCAUUCUGAAUACUUCCUCCACCCGCAUUUGAUUAUUUUAAAACAGCGUCGUCGUAAUUGGGUAAGUGUGAUCGGAAUACAGUUUGGCCUGAAAGUGCAGCUCGUCAGGCACAUGGAGAAUAGUACAGUUUGUUUGAGGGGGGUGGGAACAGAAGGAAAAGAAAAAAAAGAGCAACGAAGGUGUUUGGGAGGGAGUAUGGACAACACAUAUGUUUAAAGGAGCAAUUAUUUUCCUUGCAGAUAUACUGUAUUUUCCUGAGUAUAAGAUGAUUUUUAUUAUUAUAAAUAAAUGUUAAAAUUUGGGGGCCGUCUUAUAUGGGGAUAGUUCAGAAGGAGGGUGGGUGAUUUUUGUCAGCUGCGAGCAGGAGAUUGUCAGCGGCGAUUGGGCGGGUGAUCGGUGGCUGCGGCAAGGCCUGAUGUCGAUUGGCUGCUGCUGUGUGAAUUGGGUGGUUGAUUGGUGGCAAUCCCCCCCAAAAAACAAAAGCUCAACAACUCUAUGCAAUCCCCCUAAAAAAAGCUCAACAACUCUGGACAAUCUCCCCACAUUUCCUUAAUUUGGAGUCCCCUAAGAUAGGGGUCACUAGGGAUGCGGGUGGCACUGUGGGUUAAACCACAGAGCCUAGGACUUGCUGAUCAGAAGGUUGGCGGUUCGAAUCCCCGCGACGGUGUGAGCUCCCGUUGCUUGGUCCCUGCUCCUGCCAACCUAGCAGUUCAAAAGCACAUCAAAGUGCAAGUAGAUAAAUAGGUACCGCUCCGGCGGGAAGGUAAAGGGUGUUUUCAUGUGCUGCUCUGGUUCGCCAGAAGCAGCUUAGUCAUGCUGGCCACAUGACCCGGAAGCUGUACGCCGGCUCCCUCGGCCAAUAAAGCGAGAUGAGCUCCGCAACCCCAGAGUCGGCCACUGACCCCUAAUGGUUAGGGGUCCCUUUACCUUUAAAAUAGAGGUCAUCUUAUACACUGGGGAGUGUUAUACAUGGAAAAAUAUAGUAACAUGACAACAUGAUUCAAGGAAUACCGUAUUGGCCCGAAUAUAAGACACACCUGCAAAUAAGCUGCACCUUUACCAUUCAAAAUCCUGGCACUACUAUCUCUCAGCACUACCUCCCCAAACCGGCGCUGGCGGAGGCUUGGGAGUAGCAGGCAGGCUGCAUGCCGUUGCCCCACACUCCCAUGCUGCUUUGUCAUAGUCUCCUCCCCUUUCUUACGGCAGCUUGGGGGAGGCUUGGAAGCAGCGGGUGGGCUGCACGCCACUGCCCUGUGCUCCCGGAUUGCUCUCGGGGGGUGUGGGGAGCAACGCCACUUUGCCAGCAGUGUAAGGUCGCAAAUAUAAGCCGCACUUUAAUCUGUCCCACCAUGCUGUCCACGACUGAACAUGGGUACUGAAACUUUGGUUGAAUAGUCUAGAGGAAGCCCAGGCUUCAAUCCUUGUCUUAUUCAGAAACAUAGAAAGUUUGAGAAAUGUCUAUUCUACAUUGGAUCUAUCAUUUACGAUAAACAUUGCUCUCAUACACACACCAGGCAGUGCAAUAAGAUUAGAGGCUAUGCUUUGUCGUGAGUUUUAUUACAUUACGACUCGAGAAAUCUAAUUUCAGGUGUCAUGUCGUCCUAGAAGGGCUCGAACAUUAAGAAAAUUGCCAGAAAAAUACAGGGUGAAGAAAGUAAGAAACAAAUAACCUUUGCGUUGCUUCUUUAUAAAAGUCAAAAAAAUAAGGCUUAUUGGCCAUUAGCUGGGUAACAAGAUACCGGUUGAUUGUUUCAGGCUGCCCUUUUCUUGGACAUGUAUUGAUGCCGUGCCUAUAAAUGGAAGGGACAUUCUCUAAGCAAAGAGAAAACUUUGCUCCAGUAAGAAAGAAAUCAAAAGAAAUCAAAAGCCUGCAGGAUUCUGCAUUGCCUCACUUACAUAUUCAUGUUGCAAUUUGGAUUCUGUAACCAAGUUUUUCUCUGUGUUUAUUCAGGACAGAUAUGCUAUUUUCACUAAUACGUGUGAUAUUUUAAAUGCACACUUUUACCUAAUAUAUACGGUACAUUUUUGUACACUUUACGUGGCUGGAGAACUGCACUACAAAAUUCAGAGGUGGGCGAAUUUAAGAGAAAGGCUGUGUUUGCUUCGCAUAUUGUUUCAGAAUGUGUGAAUACGCUCUGUUCACUGUAAAAGGUGGGUUUAACUCAGUCUAGUGGGGGAACUCAGCAGAGAGGUGCACCCAUUGAAAAGUGGUCUGGAGGGGGAAGCGAAGCAUAUCUCCCACCAUUAAUGCUUCUCUAUACCCAACUGCACUCUCCCAAAAUUGUAUGUUUGACGUGCAGUUGCAUAAAAAUGUGUGCUUUGGUGUUUACGAGAAGCUUUUGGUGGUUCUUAUUUGGGGUGCUCUCAUAUUUAAGGGACCACUUCUCCUGGUAUGCCCCACAGAGGACCUUAAGGUCCAUGAAUAAUCAUAGUUUAGAGGUCCUGGUCCCUAAGGAAGUCAGAUUAUCCUCCACCAGGGCCAGGGCCUUCAAAGUGAUGGCUCCGACCUGGUGGAAUGCUCUGUCCCAUGAGACCAGGGCCCUGCAGGAUUUAACUUCCUUCCGCAGGGCCUGUAAGAUAGAGCUAUUCCACCUGGCUUUCAAUUUGAACUUAGCCUGAUCUUUUAUUCCCCUUCCUUCCCUCUCCCUCCCUUUUUUAUGAAGAUUAGUGGUUAAUGGUGGUAGUCUCGUAAUCUGGGGAACCAGGUUCGCAUCUCCGCUCCUCCACAUGCAGCUGCUGGGUGACCUUGGGCCAGUCACACUUCUCUGAAGUCUCUCAGCCUCACUCAUCUCACAGAGUGUUUGUUGUGGGGGAGGAAGGGAAAGGAGAUUGUUAGCCGCUUUGAGACUCCUUUGGAUAGUGAUAAAGUGGGAUAUCAAAUCCAAACUCUUCUCUCUGGGAUCCCACAGCUAAUUCUCCCUGGUCUCCUCGCUGGCCCAAAUAGAACUAAUUUAGCCAGCUAGCCCUGGUGAUCAUCUAAUGUUUAUUGGAUGGAUUUCCCCCUAAAUUGAUUUUUGAAUUCUGAAUUUAUUGUUAUUCACAUUUUAUACUGCAUUUUAUGCUGUUUUUUGUUGCAUCAAUUAAGCAUUUUAAAUUUGUUGUUAGCCACCCUGAGCCCGGUUUUCUGAAUCAGGAAGGCCGGGGUAUAAAUAAAAAAUUAUCAUUAUUAUUUAUUAUUGUCUCUUCUCCCCAACUUUACCAUGCAGAUACAUCUUGGACUUCCUAGCAUGCUAUAAAGCAGAGGUGGGAAACUUUAGCCUUUGUGCCAAUCUUGGCUGGCCAGGCCAUUUCUGCCAAACCAUGCAAACUUGUCAAUCAAGGUGAAAAUCAAGAUCUGUCCUCCCUGAGCUCGCUUUAGGAUACCUGCAGAUCACUUGCAGCCAGAAGCGAGAGCCCCUCGGGGCUCUGCCCCCCCGCCUCACCGAAUAAGUGAAAAAAUCAUCAGAGUAGUGGUAUGUUUCACCGGCAACCCGGACAGGCCUCCCACCUAGAUAGAUAGAUAAUUUAUUACGGUCGGAGACCAGCUUAUAAAACACACUUUGGGGUACAAUCCCAGAAGGAAAGCAACCAUUUAAAACAAUGUACAACAAUAAAUUUAAAAUUUAUAAAUGCAAUAAGUGUAUCGACCCUUAAAACUUUAAGAUGAGCUGCCGCAGAGAGAUGACCCAGAGUCACCCAUGGAACCGAGUUUGGGGAUUUUCUUAACGAACUAGUUUGGGUCGGGGGAUGGUCUAUGCCUACAGAUCUGUACACAGAAUCUGGCAACCAUCCGGGUCGUCUUAUGAUCUUUGCCUAACAGGAAAAGGUCAAAUUUUUGCUUUUCCUGGAGGUCGGCGAGCCUCACCAGUAGGGGAUCAAUGGUUUUACUACGUGCCUCUUCAUAAAAGGGACAUCUAAAGAACAAGUGCUCUGGGCUUCCUAUCUCCCCCAAUGAACAGGCAAAAAGUCUCUGAGCAUAUGUGACUUUUCUAAAGGAUCCUUCCAGGACCGGUGAGGGCAAAGCCGAGCUUCUGACGAGUGUAAAAGCCCUUCUUGCCUUUUUUGAUACGAGAAAGAAGAGAUAUGCUGCCAGUGCGGCUAUCUCUCUCUCGGUUUUUCCAAUUUUAUAGUCUGGGCACCUUGAGCAGUCCUGUUGUCUCUUGGUGUCUAUGAUUCUUUGCCUGACCAUAGCUUUUGCCUGUUCCAACCCCAGACUUAGAAGGGCUUGUGGGGUAAAACCCAGUUUCUGAAGAGUGUUCAGGACUGCUGUCUGCCAGCCUGACUGGAACUGGUCGCAGAGGAUCAUUGAGGCCUCCCACUUAUUCUACACCUCUUAUGUCUCUUCACAGGGCCAAACUCGGGGACAGCGUCAGAUGGGGAGUUUGGCUGGCGCGGUACACCUGUCAAACCGCAACACAGGUGUCCUAAGGCGAGCUCAAAGAGGACAGAAACCUCCCGCGGAGCAGAAGGGCAAAAGCUCGCUUGAUCUUGAUUUUCAGUACGAAUACAGACCGUGAAAGCGGGGCCUCACGCUCCUUCUGGCUUUUUGGGUUUUAAGCAGGAGGUGUCAGAAAAGUUGUCAAUCAAGGGGCAUCUUUCGGUGUCACCUGCUUAAGCGAUUGUUUCUGUUUUGCUGCAGCAAAGCUUGAUGUUGAUUAUCCCCUCUGUGGCUAAAGAAUGGGUUUAAUAGCUCAGCCAGGCACUUCUCAUUUUCCCUCCACAACUCCCCACCACGGUCGAUUACUCCUCCCUCCCUCAAGAGCAUCCAUAGUUAAGGGCUUAAUGGUGUUACUUCGGACACCCUGGGUGUACUAAAGCAUCGUUGACAGCUCUUUACUCAUUUCCCCCUCCAUUCUCUGAAGAAGCAUGAUUUGAAAUGGGCUUAAUUGGACAGCUAUUACUGUUAAUUUGGCAAGGACCCUUAUUCACUCAUAUUUUGAAACAGGGACCUUUGCAUUUCUCUGUGUAUGCAUAAAUAUUUGUUUCUUUACAGUGGCAAUGGAUAAUUUGUUGGAUGUCUUAUUCAAAUCUCUCCCCACCCACCCCCCACCCCCCAUUUCAUAUAUGUGAUUUCUGCAUGUGUGAUUUCUGCAUUGGAAAAUACGGGUAACUUUGAUUUGUAUUUAAUGCACCAUCCUUUGGACUCACCCACUUGACCCACAGUGGAUUAACCAGAUAAGAAUUGGGCACUCAGGCAAAAACGGUUUCUCACUCCUCUGUGAAGCUUGAGCUGAAGAUGGGAUUUAUCCAGCCACGUAAUGUUCAGAAAAAUGCAUAUACUAGGGUAAAAAUGAGCAUAAGUCAACAAGGCUUCUCAGUUGGAUGAACAGGUCUUUGUCAUGGGUGUUCAUUUUGUAUUUUUCAAAACAUAUCCUGGUUUUUUGGGUGUUGUUUUAACUGGUUUUUUUAAAGUUGCUUUUAUUAUAUUUCACCCAUUCCCUUGCGAUCUAUCUAUAGAUUGAUAAUAAUAAUCUAAAAAAAAUUAAUUGCAUAUAUCAGUGAAAGCAACAUACAAAAAUGCUUUAUAUUAGGGGACGGUUGUUUUGCAAAAGUGUGUAUAUUAGGAGACAUUGCAGAGAAACAUGCUUGUUAGAAGAAAAUUCACAUUAAAAUGCUGUUGAAUUUCCAUGCAGAUUUGUUUCUUUCAAAAUCACAAAUGCAUGUCGAAAUGUGAAGAAAUGAACUCAGCAUUGGAAAGAUGAGAAGCUGAAAGAAAAUAAAAUUGACAAACCUGUCUAUCCUUACAUACUGCUAAUUUUAGUCCCUCCCCAAAGUCUGUGUGUGGCCCUCAACUGAUUGCCUUUGAGGCAAUGUGGUUCUCAAAAACGCAACACAGGUUGCCUAUCCUUGUCCAAUGUGAUCAAAUCGUAUGUGAUAUAUAUGUUUGUGAUGGCAGUAGAUAAAGAUGUAUUUUUUUGUUAUUGUUCAGAUCAUGAGCAUUCAGAAUGACCUUUUCCAGGCAGAUGUGAAAAUUAUUUGAUACUUGUCCAGAAUUGCAAAGCAGCUCAUACAUUUUAAACAGCACUCCAUAAUCAAUUAAUAACUAGCUGUGAGGGGCUUUCACAAUAGGCUUAUUAUUCUGCCAUUAGAUUUGCUUGAAACAUGAUUAAUAGCCUCCUGAACUCUGGUGCAGGGUGUGUACUAAUAACUUUAAGAGUUAAGUAAACAGCAAUUACAGUAGAAACAAAGAAUGAUUUACUAAUUAGAGAAGUCUGAAACCACCGUAUUUUUAGUCUUGCAUGAAUAUGAUGUGGUUUCAAAUCCACAGGCCAAGCGUACGUAAUUUCACCUUGGGUGAAUCCAUUCACACAUUAAGGCUGUAGACCUGCAGGCAUUCACCUGAGAGUCAGUCCCAUUGAACUUGCCAGGAUUUUCUUCCGAGUAGACAUGCAUAGGACUACAUAGUUAAUUCAGUUACGGCUGGCUGGUGCAUGCCCUGACAACAUCAAAGGUUUGCCAAUGCUUUUUUCGGGUCCGAUUGGUAAUCCUAGCCCUUUCCCCAUCAAACAAAAUUACAACUAAGACCUAUCCUAAGUAACACAAGCACAAACCAAGUCCUAUUUAUUAUUAUUAUUCAGUAGUCAUACAAAUCAAAGAUCAACAUACCCAUGUCUAAACAAAUAACGCCUCAGUCUCCCUCCCCUGGGGGUUUGUCUGUAUGAAUCUGUAUUUUCUUCUGAACCCAUGUUAUCGGUCGUUGGACUGCAAUAAAGAUUAAUAAUAAUAAUAAUAAUAAUAAUAAUAAUAUAUUAUACACAAAUUGGAAGUAAUCAGAGAUAUAGAUUUUAUUAACAUGCAUGAAUGGAAAUAUUAUAAAGGAACCAAGGGAGAGGGUGGAGGGAAGUCAGGGGGUUCAAGGAAUCCCAUACUGUGGAUUCAAUAUGGGUUGUAUAUAGUCGUACCUUGGUUCUCAAACGCCUUGGUACUCAAACAACUUGCAACCCAAACACUGCAAACCCAGAAAUAAGUGUUCCAGUUUGCGAACUUUUUUCAGAAGCUGAACGUGCUCUGUUUGAGUGUUACGUUUCCGUUUUGAGUGCCACACUUCCGUUUUGAGGUCUGUUUUUGCUAUUUAUGAUAUUUUGCGUUUCUGUUUUUGCGGCUCUUUUUGUUUUGUUUUUGUGACUGUGUGGAACCCAGUUCAGCUACUGAUUGAUUGAUUGAUUGAUUGUGUGACUGCAGUACAUUGUUCAUCGCUUUCAUUUUAUAGAUCAAUGGUGUCGUUAGAUAGCAAAAUUCAUGUUAAACUGCUGUUUUAGGUGUUGCUUUUAAAAGUCUGGAACGGAUUAAUCCAUUUUGCAUUACUUUUUAUGGGAAAGUGUGCCUUGGUUUCAGAACGGACUUCCGGAACGGAUUAAGUUUGAGAACCAAGGUACCACUGUAAUAAUAAUAAUAAUAAUAAUAAUAAUAAUAAUAGUUUGUAGUACAAAAAUUGGAAGUAAUCAGAGAUAAAGAUUUUAUUGACAUGCGUGAAUGAAAAUAUUAUAAAGAAACCAAGGGGGGGGGAGUCAGGGGAUUCAAAGAAUCCCAUACUGUGGAUUCAAUAUGGACUGUAUAUAUAGUUGUUUUAAAUGUUUUAUUUUAUGCUUCCCCCAUUAAAAGUAAUGUUUUUGUGAAAAUUAAUACUAAUAUUAUACAAAAACAAAAGAUUCUGGAAGGGGAUAAUAAUAAUAAUAAUAAUAAUAAUAAUAAUUUAUUUAUACCCUGCCCAUCUGAUUGGGUUGCCCCAGCCACUCUGAAUGGCUUCCAACAUAUAUAAACUCAUAAUAAAACUCUAAACAUUAAAAAACUUCCCUACGCAGUGCUGCCUUCAGAUGUCUUCUAAAUGCCUUCAGAUGUCUUCUAGAGUUACUUAUCUCCUUGGCUUGGGGGAUAACUUCAUACCCUCCAACAUUUCUCCGAUGAAAGUAGGGAUGUCCUAUGGAAAAGUAGGACAUUUCAGCAUCUGUAAAUCUGGGAUCGCCGAAGAAUUGAUGCUUUUGAAUUAUGGUGCUGGAGGAGACUCUUGAGAGUCCGAUGGACUACAAGAAGAUCAAACGUAUCCAUUCUUAAGGAAAUCAGCCUGAGUGCUCACUGGAAGGACAGAUACUGAAGCUGGGGCUUCAAUACUUUGGCCACCUCAUGAGAAGAGAAGACUCCCUGGAAAAGACCCUGAUUUUGGGAAAGAUUGAGGGCACAAAGAGAAGGGGACGACAGAGGACGAGAUGGUUGGACAGUGUUCUCGAAGCUACCAGCAUGAGUUUGACCAAACUGCGGGAGGCAGUGGAAGACAAGAGUGCCUGGCGUGCUCUGGUCCAUAGGGUCACGAAGAGUCAGACACGACUAAAUGACUAAACAACAACAAAAUCUGGGACUGUCCCUGGCAUAUAGGGGGCUCUUGGAGGGUCUGUACAUGUUUUGAGGGAAGGUGCUUGAACAAAGAACAACCACAACCAUUUCUCUGCUUCUGCUUUCACUGAAUAUUUUUACUCAGUCCCUUUUGUGCCAAAGGAGUGUGGCUGGAGGAUUAGCUGAAUGAAACCAACAGAAGAUUAAAGGUCACCGCCCGGUUUCCCUUCCACCAUUGUGGCCUCAGGUUUCCUUCAUCACAGGCAACACCACAGUGCAAAUUUACCCUAUCUAUGACAGCUGACUUGAAGCAAACAAUCAGGAUAGAUUGUGAUUGAAAUACAGGUUGUGCGGAUCCACCUUGAAACCCUAUUGGAUAAAAUAAUUGGGGGAUAUUGUCAAAUGACUUUCCACAUUUCUCCUCAGAGGCUAAACAAAGUUGCUGGAAACUCAAUAGAACAUAAGAGAGGCAUUAAAACGAAUGACAGACGUUUGUGACACUGUGUUGAACUUACUAAAUGUAUUUAGCUUGAAAAGCAUUAUUAUGAUUUAAAGAAACCAACAGCUAUAGACUCUUAAAAUGUUAUCAAGCUGCUAAGCUACUCCCAAAGGGGAUUUGCAUGGUGAACUGUAAGUAGUAGCCUUCAGCUACUAUUUCCCUUGGUACUGAAGCCUGCUGCUGCAAUCUAUUAGACUUCAGAAACUGCUCUCACUUCUUAAUCUCAUCUUCUUCAAAGGUAACUUUUACUUUUUGAAACUGUAAUUGGAUCCUGAAAAUAUGCUUUUGGGGUACAAUAAAGGAAAAUGAAAAAUUCCACAAAUAUGUGGAAGAUGUCUUAAAACGUGAAACAGAACGGUACAAAUUUCCAAGUUUGCAGUUUACAAAGCAUCAAUCAGAGACCUUCUAUCCCGCUCAGUGGGACUUCCUUAAAGUAAGUGGUUUGCGAGAGCAAUGAGUUCUGAAUUAUUGCUCAAACGGCAAACAACUCUUAAAGGUUUAGGGAAAGAGACAUAGUUACUGACAUAUGGUUAAAGCAUUUCAGCUGUCUUCUCAAUUGUCCCUUGAUAGGUUGCAGUGUUCAUUACUCAUGAUCCCUUGCAGUGUAUUUGUUGAAACUGAACAUUUUAUGUUUCUGGCUUUGCUUUUGUACAAUAUUAAGUAUGGCAGGACUGGGAGGAUCUGUCAGAGAAGGAUCCAUGGUAGGAGGUGGGGGAGAUCUGACCUACCCACUUGGGGCACCCUCAUUCUUCGAAAGGAAAGUAGGAGAGGGGCAUGUUGGGUGAUAGAACAACAUCUUAGCUCAUGGUAAGUCAUAUGUCUUAAGAGACCUACUUGUAGACUUAUGAAUCUUAUAACCUGUACCUAAAUGCUGAGCCCAUCUGUUGACUUAUUGAAUAAAGCUUUCUAGUUUCCUCCAGCAGAACAAGAUACAGUGGUACCUCUGGUUACAGACGCUUCAGGUUACAGACGCUUCAGGUUACAGACUCUGCUAACCCAGAAAUAGUACCUCAGCAGCGCGAGGCCCCAUUAGCUAAAGUGGUACCUCAGGUUAAUAACAGUUUCAGGUUAAGAACGGACCUCCAGAAUGAAUUAAGUUCUUAACCCGAGGUACCACUGUAAAGGUAAAAAGGUAAAGGACCCCUGGAUGGUUAAGUCCAGUCAAAGGCAACUAUGGGGUUGCGGUGCUCAUCUUGCUUUCAGGCCAAGGGAGCUGGCGUUUGUCCACAGACAGGUUUCCGGGUCAUGUGGCCAGCAUGACUAAACCACUUCUGGCACAAUGGGACACUGUGAUGGAAACCAGAGCACACAGAAACACUAUUUCCCUUCCCACCGCAGCGUUACCUAUUUAUCAACUUGCACUGGUGUGCUUUCGAACUGCUAGGUUGGCAGGAGCUGAGAUAGAGCAAGGGGAGCUCACUCCGUCGAGUGGAUUCGAACCGCUGACCUUCUUAUCGUCAAGCCCAAGAGGCUCAGUGGUUUAUACCACAGCUCCACCUGCAUCCCUUAGAAUGAAAUAAACCAAUGGUUUGAGUCAGUAGAAGGCAGCUUCCUGUAUUCCUAUAGAGUCCAAGUACAGUGUCUGGGAGUGGGAGCCAGGACACAUCACCCCUCCUGGUAACCAGUGACUCACCUGCUGGGAAGCAAGCAAAGCUGCUCUAUUCUACUCAGUGAGCUGCUUCUGGUUCUCAUUUUGCUGGGGAAUGACUGGGAAUAUCACUAGCUCUGAGUCAUUGUGCAUGUGAGUCAGGUGCUUCUAUCUGAAUAGAAUAGGUCUGGAUCUAUUCUCUGUAUGCAGAGUCAUUUACUAAAGGGAAAAGAUCAUGCUUCAAAUUGUCAUGAAAAUAAAGAAAGUGGGUUGUUUUUUAAAUGCAUUGCCGGGAAAGAAGAGAUAUAUCACCAAAAGACGCCAGUGAUUUGCAUAAAAUUUGCAUGCGCUAAUUUGUAUGGAGAGCUGCAAAUUUAGAAACACUUAUUGCAAGCAGAAAUACAAUAUAGCUCAUCCUAGUAGGGCAAAUGUGAUCUGCUCACCAGGGUCCCAGCUCCAUCCUCUGCUGAUGCACAGCUUCAAGGCCCUUGAUCUCCCUUCUUAUGGUUCUUUAUCUUUAAAUUGGACUUGGAGUAGACAGCCUUCCAAACAGAGGAUUCAGUCAAAUAGAGUACUGUCUUCUGUAAAGUAGGACACAGGGCAUCCGAGCGAUUGCAUAAAAGAUUGCAAGGAUACUUUCACCCUGAAGCUGUUUGGGACCAAUGAAGUACAAUUUCAGGACCACACAGAAUGAAAUUGCCAUUCUGUCACAGAAGCCUAGCAUCUUGGAUUCACGAAGUGCAGUGAAAAGUCCCAUCUCCCACUGUGCAUUCUAGUAAUGAGCACUUCACCAUUCUGCUGCCCCCCAUCCUACGGAUCACUUUUUCACCCUCUAUGUCCUACUGUACUCUACUUCCCCUUUGUUAGCAUAUUUCCAUUUGCUUCUUCCUGCCUAACCUUUUUAACAGUUCUUUCCUGGGCAUUUUGAGUCUCUCCACGUAUUUAAUAACAUCCUCAGUUCGUCUUAGCAUCCCCCCAUAUUUAACAGAGUUAUAUAAACAUAUACAGAGCUCUUUCAGAUGGUCUUGUUACAGCAGUAUAAAAUCAAUACAGUGAUGAUAUCACGUGGCUCCUCAAAAGACAAAAACACUGCCCCCCAAACAAAGAUUGUGCCAUAAAAGGUACCACAAACACAGUUACGCCUCUGCAGUCAUAAGUAAGAUUUUUGUUCAAUGGGACUUGCUCCCCUUUUAAGUGUGCACGGAAUUUCAGCCUGUAAAACGAAGUGGUUUAUGAGGGGACUCGUAAAGUUGUUGCAUAUGGAUUUGCUAAAACAUGCAAGCGAUAUGGUUUUAAAGUGGUCCACAUAUCAAACAGUUCAAGGGAUUUGUGAUUAAGUUAAUUCUGUCUAAUGUGGAACUAAUUUAAACUGCAAGCUGUAAUAUACCUCAGCAGUACCUUUCUUACAUCUGUGGCAACAUUUCAGAUAUUUUAAGAUGUGCUGGAAAACUGUCUUCAUACUAGGAACUCUGGGACGUGAACAUUCUCUAAAGCAGUUGGGGAUUAGUGGAUCAUUGAGCACAUUUUCACCCAACAGCAGUUGUUUAAUAAAGCCAUUUGGUUAAUCUUCUGGAGUUAUUUUACUGCCAUCAGAUUAUUAAAAGGAAUUUCAGUUCACUUUCAGGGGUGUGACUGAUGUCUGUUUGAGGAGAUGGAACUGUAGCAACCAGGGAAUUAUCUGUAAUGUUAGGGAGGGGGAAACAGGUUAACUAAAGUUGUGUUCCAAUGGAAUGGACAAACAGAAUAUUUUGCCAACGUGCAUUAUAAGAUGUUGUCAUUAUAAAGCAAACCGAGCCUUGGGUAUUAACUAAGCUAUUGCAUUUGUCCUACAUCACACUAAAUCCAAACCAUUUAGAGCUUGCCCGGAUGGCAGUUCCCCCCCAUGGCUAGCUUAUGCAAUGCUAAAGCCUGAAAUUGAAGGAAAUGAAAGAUAGGCCAGUUAGCUUGAUGGUUUUGCACCAAAGUUAGGUAAUGGAGGUCCUGUGUGAGUAUCUGGAGGCAGUUGGAGGAUGGAUGGCAGCUAACAAAUUGAGGCUGAAUCCUGACAAGACAGAAGUACUGUUUUGGGGGGACAGGAGGCAGGUGGAUAUGGAGGAUUCCCUGGUCCUGAAUGGGGUAACUGUGCCCCUGAAGGGCCAGGUGCGAAGGCUGGGAGUCAUUUUGGACUCGCAGCUGUCCAUGGAGGUGCAGGUCAAUUCUGUGUCCAGGGCAGCUGUUUACCAGCUCCAUCUGGUACGCAGGCUGAGACCCUAUCUGCCCAUGGACUGCCUCACCAGAGUGGUGCAUGCUCUGGUUAUCUCUCAUUUGGACUACUGCAAUGCGGUCUAUGUGGGGCUACCUUUGAAGGUGACCCAGAAACUACAACUAAUCCAGAAUGCAGCAGCUAGACUGGUGAAUGGGAGCGGCUGCCGAGACCACAUACCGGUAACACCGGUCUUGAAAGACCUACAUUGGCUCCCAGUACGUUUCCGAGCACAAUUCAAAGUGUUGGUGCUGACCUUUAAAGCCCUAAAUGGCCUUGGUCCAGUAUAUCUGAAGGAGCAUCUCCACCCCCAUCGUUCUGCUCGGACACUGAGUUCCAAUGCCGAGGGCCUUCUGGCGGUUCCCUCACUGCGAGAAGCAAAGCUACAGGAAACCAGGCAGAUGGCCUUCUCGGUAGUGUCACCCGCCCUGUGGAACGCCCUCCCACCAGAUGUCAAAGAGAACAACAACUAUCUGACUUUUAGAAGACAUCUGAAGGCAGCUCUGUUUAGGGAAGCUUUUAAUGUUUGAUACAUUACUGUAUUUUAAUAUUUUGUCGGAAGCUGCCCAGAGUGGCUGGGGAAGCCCAGCCAGAUGGGCGGGGUAUAAAUAAAUUAUUAGUAGUAGUAGUCAUAAUCAGCAUGGGAAUUAAACCUAUUCCCUAUAGAGCUGGCAGAUGUCAAAUUUGAUUGAACUUGCAUGCCAAGAAAGUUACUAUCUGGAAGCCACAACAUACUGCAAGAAGACUAGAAUCUAUUGUAUAUAUGGCUAUUUUACACAUUAUGCAUCAAAAGUACAUAUGUGUGUAUUUGUUCGCUAUUAUAUCGGAAGCACCUACAUAGAAUCAUAGAAUUGUAGAGUUGGAAGAGUCAUCUAGUCCAACUCCCUGCAAUGCAGGAAUGUAGCAGAGAGUAUAUGCAAGGUACCCUCCAGAUGUUGCUGAACUACAGCUUACCUCAGCUAAAUAAUUUAGAUAAGUUGAUUAAUGCCAGGGUCACACAUCUGGAUCCUAUGAACCCAUGAAAUACCAUGGUUACUGGUGACCCACUAACUAACUAACUAACUAACUAACUAACUAACCAACUAACUCAGAAGCAGGUAAGAGACAGAACUGUGAAAUAGCUUAUUGUGACAAUUUUGCAGCAGGAACCAAGGCAAACAAACACUGUCAGAUACCUAGACAUUGUCUCUUGCAGUUGGCUGGCUUUGCUUGCCUGCAAUGUCUGAAAGGGGAAUUUGCAUAGGCAAACACAGCCUGCAAACCCUUCCUGUGCAUGUUCCCCUUCGCACCAGCUGGCAGCACUUGUUCUAGUAGCCGGAAGCUGUUCAAAACCUCUCAGAUGGUUUCAUUAAAGGUAAAGGGACCCCUGACCAUUAGGUCCAGUCGUGACCGACUCUGGGGUUGCGGCACUCAUCUCGCUUUAUUGGCUGAGGGAUCCGGCGUACAGCUUCCGGAUCAUGUGGCCAGCAUGACUAAGCCACUUCUGGCGAAUCAGAGAAGCGCAUGGAAACACCGUUUACCUUCCCGCCGGAGCGAUAACUAUUUAUCUACUUGCACUUUGACAUGCUUUCGAACUGCUAGGUUGGCAGGAGCAGGGACUGAGCAAUGGGAGCUCACUCCGACGUGGGGAUUCGAAUUGCCAACCUUCUGAUCGGCAAGUCCUAGGCUCUGUGGUUUAACAGAGCCAAUGGCAAAUAACUGAGUGGCUCUGCCCCACUUGUCAUGCUUAGGCUGCAGCCUUCACAGCAGCCUUGCUAAUCUCUGUUUAUGCUGCUUCCGCUGCUAAAUAGUCCCUUAGGAUUCAGCUAUGACUCUUAGUGAACCUCAGCAGGGUUGUUUCUGCCUGUAUGACCAUCCCUCAAUAAGUGAAGAAUCAAAUGGUGACUUGCAUAUGUGAUGUAGCCAGCACAGAUCCAAUUCCGCUGGCACAGGUUUCUUCCCCACCUUCUUCCCCACCUUCUCCAAACACAACAGGUACAGUUCACCAGCUGUGCGCCUAAGAUAUCAUCAGAGCAACUAGUUGGUUGUGCCCCACAUUGCUGCAGAAUGAAGAGGGAAGAGACAUAGUGGAGACAUAGCCAAAAGUGGGAUCAGAGGAAGAUGAUGGAGUUUAUGGAGCUGGCUGAUCUCACCGGGAGAAUCUGUGACCAGAAAGAAGAGGAACACCAAGAAGAUUGGAAGAAAUUCAAAGACUAUUUGAAUAAAUAUUGUAAUAUUAAAGAUAUGUAAUCACUUGAAAGAAUCAAUUAGGCGUAGGAUUAAAUUGGGAUUAAAUAUAUAAAUAAGAAAAUUUACAAAAAUAAAAGUAAGGAAAUAUGAUUAUGACUGUGAUAGGGUUUAUGAAAUAAUGAUAUUAGAAACUGCUAUAUAUAAUUACUAAGAAAUUCAGAUGGAAGAGAUUUGAGGAAGCAAAAUAAUAUGUUUAUGAAGAUGGAUUUUAAUUAUUCUUUUUUCUUUUUCUUUUUUCUCUGUUUCAUUCUUUUUCCUUUAUUAUUGUCAACUUUUUCUUUUUUCGCUAUGUUUAUGUAUGAAAAAUAAUAAAUAUUAUUGGGGGGGGGGGAUCAGAGGAAGGUUGGAACACAUAUCAUUGUGUUUGCUGAGAUGGAUCACUUCCUGCAGGGAACGUGGAGGGAUGGAGACAAAAGAAGGUGGAAAUGGGAGCACACCAGCAACUUGGCCAUCACUGCAGGAAGCGGGAUGGAGUAGGAAUUUAUUUCAUUAUUAUUAUUAUUAUUAUUAUUAUCAUCAUCAUCAUCAUCAUUAGUUGUUGUUGCUGCUGCUGCUGGCGUUGUGGAGCAGUCUUCUCUGGUAUUCCUCAACUUCCUUGCUUGCAGAUUGAAAUGUAAUUCCUAGUUUUAUUGUGCAUUUCUCUGGAUUUUGUAAUGCAUCUUCAUUGAACAAAACGUUCACACACAAAAUGCGUAUUUUACUGGUAAAUUCAUUAAAAAGUGUAUUUUAAGUUAUAAUUGCACAGCUUAUGUAAAAAGUGAGAACUAAAUGCAUACAAAAUGCAUAGAAUUGGAUACUGACCUCCUUCGAGAUAUGCCGUUCUGUUUCCCAUGUGAUACAGUUUUCCAAUCCCCCUCCCUAGCAGUCAGUCAACAUUUCAUGGACACUGAGUGUGCCCAGACCUAAUAGCAGUGCUUUAGGACUACACCUAGCCCCCCCAUCUUUUCUUUUUUUAAAAAAAAUGUACUUCUGCAUACCUUGGGAUUCUCCCAUGCCUCAUUCUUGGGCCUGAACAUCAAAAAUAGAGGAAAUGGUGAAUGCUGGACCAUGUUAUGCCCUUCAAGUGCGGGUGGGCAUAUGUGCUCCUAGGGCCCGGGUUUGUGUUCCAACACGUUUAACUUAUUGUUGGGAAUUUCAGCAUCUGCUAUUGUGGCCAGGUGCCAAUGCCAUUUUCUACACAACUAGUCAAGGUCCUUGAACCCUGUCCCUUUUGCAAUCUGCCAAGAGAAAAGAGCACACCAAGAACUCUGGCCAACAUACGUUUCAAAAGUGGGAGUGGUCCCUAUUCGCAAAUCAAUAGUCAAUUGUAACAAAAACUGAUCCAUCCAAAAGUAUAUAUUCUGACAAGGAUUACAAACUCAAAUAGAGAUUACAAACUCAAACAGAGAUUACAAACUCAAACUCAUAAGGAUAUGUAUAAUACAAUAAUUCGUUACAGUAUUAAAAAUAAGAGUUUAUGAGUAGAGAUGUUCAUGUUAGUCCAUAGUAAGAUCUUAGUUUCAAUCAUUGAGCAGAAGUCAGAAGUCAAUUAUGGAUCAGAAACCAGGACAGGGCCUUGUUUCGAUGUAUUCACCUUCAUCAGCUAAUUUUUAAGGGGUCGUGUAAGUUUGAAGAAUUCGUAUAAAUACAUCCUGUUAUUUUCAACGUUUCUCAGAGAUAACGACAAAGUGUGGGUAGAUCAACAUGUAUCUUGAGCUUUUCUGUGUGUUUUUGAAUCUGGACAUCCUAUAGAGACCCCAUAUGAACAUAAGGAAAGCCUGCUGAAUAAGGCCAGUGGACAUCUUGUCUAGCCUACUGUUCUCACAGUGGCCAACUGGAUGUCCAUGGCAUCUGCAAUCAUACCUUGAUAAGAAUCAAGGCCUGAUUAUUGUGUGAGUCAUCUCCCUUAGCUAUCUUUCUAGCACUGAAAUUCUCUUGCCUAGAAAGCAUACCUGGACUACUACCUGGUGCGCAAUUAUACAUAAACAAGUACCACAGGUUUCAGGGAUCUAUAUGCCCAUUAGAAUCGGGGCUGACCUGGCCUGCUUCACAGGCUGCGCUGAUGCAGAAAGUACCCCCCAAAGCCUCACUUAUUGGGGUUGCGGCAUGGUUUCCAGUGAGAUCUCUCUGCUCCAAAGGAUUCUGCUGCCCAAAGCAGCUGCUUCAACCUACCUCAUGUGUGGGCUGGCCCUGAUUUAUAUAUACAGGAUUGAAAUCAGUGCAAUUUACAACUGUGCCUGUACAAUCCAAUCUCACAGGUCUUCUUUCCCCUUUAAGGCAGGUGGCAUCAUCGUGCAGUUCAACAGACCUUUGACUCAAGUGAUUAUUUUUUUAUUUUCACCAAGCAUUGAUCACUAACAGUCAAAACAAGCUUUCCCUGUACAUCCUUCCAUAAUAGCGAUUACCAGCAGUUGUGAAUCCUUGCUUCAAGCCACGAGAAAUUAACUGCUCCUGCGGUUCUAAGAAACACAAAAGAGAAGCUUUCAUAAUAGCAAAUGAGAAACUUUUAAGUACAUUCCAUUUGAAAACUCAUCACCUUUGCAGAGCAUCCUAGCAACAAGUUGGGGUAAAGGCUUCUGAAGCAACAGAGGCAAAUUGUUGAAAUGUUCACAUCUCAAAACGAUACCAAUUUGCACCUCUUCCCUCGGCAUCUGCCAUUAUGAUAAGAUCAAAGAGAGGCGCUGACUCAGCACGCUGCAGGCUCCUUACGGAUAAUUGGUUCCCCUUCUUUUUCGGAUUACAUCAUAGCAACUUGUGGAAGCAAGUACAGUAUAACAAGGUAAAUAUGAAAAUGUGCCUCUUCUCUUUGACUUAUUUCAUUUUCUCAUCCCUGUAGGCAGAUUUUAUUUAGAGGAUUCCAGCAUCAAAGGGAUCUUUACAAUUCAGAAAGGCAUAUGUGAAAGAACAUGUAAAAGCCUGGGGAAGGCAGCCCAAAGCAGAGGUCUCCAGCUGCAUGCACAAUGAUUCUAUUUUGACCUUCAAAUGAAAAUACAGGGACUGCAGCUUCUAUCAUGCGCCUUCUUAUAUGCACUGUUAAAUUCUGCAUGGCUGUUGUGUCCAGAGCUUCAAACCAUGGUUCCACACUGAUAUAUUAGGUGGCUGCAUGGUAGAAGCAGCUUCUGAUAGGCUCACGCUCCUUGCAGUUUGUAUUCCUGUCAAUGGGCACUGAAGAAAGAUGAAGGCAUGUAACCAAAACCCACCAAAAUACAUAUAAACCAGGGCUGUGGAAAGUCUUGUGAUCCACCCUGUGGCCCCAACCUGUGGCCUCUGAAUCGGGCAAAUUCACCUGUGCCACCAUGGGAACAACCUGCCCCACCCAGUUCCAAGCAAUUUGGGGGCAGGAGUAUUUUAACAUAUGGUCAGGAGGAGGUGAGGGAAAGGGGAGAGGCUGUUUCUCUUCCACCUCUUCUAACCUACAGUAGGCAGGUUCGAUCCUGUAGGGUACUGCUCCUUCACAAGUGUCUUCUCGGUAUGCAUGGAAACUAUUCAUGAAGGAUCAGAUCCUCCUGCUUUCCAGUUGGUAAGCAGAGGGUGGGGUGGGAUUUCCUCCUGCAGGGUACCCAAAAGCUGCUCAUAAAGGAGUGGUGACUGGCACUAGGUGAGAUAAAGGUUAAGGACCCUUGGACGUUAAAGUCCAGGCAAAGGCAACUAUGGGGUUGCAGCGCUCAUCUCGCUUUCAGGCCAAGGGAGCCAGCGUUUGUCCACAGACAGCUUUUCCAGGUCAUGUGGCCAACAUAACUAAACUGUUUCUGGUGCAACAGAACACUAUGACGGAAACCAGAGCGCACGGAAACACCAUUUACCUUCCUGCUGCAGCCAUACCUAUUUAACUACUUGCACUGGUGUGCUUUCGAACUGCUAGGUUGGCAGGAGCUGGAAGCUCACCCCGUUGCAGGGAUUUGAACCGCUGGCCUUCUGAUUGAAAAGCACAAGAGCUUCGGUGGUUUAGACCACAACACCACCCACAUGCUAUGCAGAAUUGCAUCUUCCCACUUAUGAUUGGAUAGCCUUAACCAAACAGAUAACUAAGAGAUGGACAGGAAAGGACCCACUACAUUUGGGGGCAUCCUAAGAUGCCUCCAUCCACAUGAUCUCCCCCUCCUCUCAAUAGGAAGAGAUCCUGAGACCAGGGAGGGACUGGAAAGGAAGGUUUUCCUGCCUUGCCUGCCUCUCCUUCCUGCCUGAUGCUUCACCCCGACAGCCGCAAAUGGCUCUGGGCAAUCCAACCCAAUCCAUAGCGAUCUGUGUCUGUCUGAACCCAACUCAUCCAAUGCUCAAGUCCCUAUUUGGUUCAGGCUUCAACUCAAUCCAGUCCACAGCCCUUGUUUUCAAUCAGCCUGUCUGCAACCUUAUUUGAAUGUAGGCAGUUAUCAGCACACACCUAUUUCUUUUUUUAAUCAUCCAUCAUCCCACCACAUGACAUAUACACAGUAGGCAAUAUCAGAAGAAACUCAUUAGCAGAAUAUUGCUUCUUCAUUGAAAAUGGAGUUUCGUUGAAAGCCCUUGACAGCAGGGGUAGAAAAGGGGUUUUAUGGAACGAGGGCAGCUGGGCCAUAAUCUGCCAGACACAAGAUUGCCAUUUUAAAAGGCACUUCAGAGCUCUUCUGUAACCACACUCUUCAGAUAAUUAACUUUCAGAACGUUUCAUGGCUUCUCCUAAGCCAUUAAUGUCUGCUCGUUAUAUAUGUAUUUAUAUGAACAAUUAAAACAUUUCCUCUCCAUCCAUUUGACCACACAAAGCUCUUUUGGGACUCGCACUGAUACAUUUUCCAGAGCAUUUCACAAAGUCUUUUAAAGAUAUUGUUUUCAUUGUGGAUGGUAAUGGCUUGUCUCUUAGACUAGGAAAAUGUUCGGUUUUAGAAAGCCAUCAGGUUUCCAUGCCAGGUUGCUAAACAGUUUGCAAUUUGUUCAGUAGUGCUGCUACAUUCCUUCCAUCUUGAAUGAAUGCCUGCAGACUCUGCGAUGUAGCCAAUUCUCCCAGGUAGUUGCUCAGAGUAUGAGAAACAAGGCUUGUUUGGGUGAAGUAAUGCAGCCAACUGGGAACACUGAUUAAAGUCUCACUUCGUAAUUUUGUUGAGCCAACUCCCUGGAGUUAUGUAACUAUCGUCCAGUUGGUACCAGAGGACAAUAUUUCUGCGUAGCUAACCAUGUAACACCAGCUCCUCAUUGGAACACACUGAUGAAUAUGGACAUUCCAGGCUCCGAGGGGCACAGAGAAGGCAGAACCUAUAUGAGAAAUAUCACAUUAGCAACACAGCUGCAGGACUUCUGUAGCAAGGACUUUGACACGGUGGCGAAAGCAAGUCUUACACAGCAAUGAGAGGAAAAGGUCAGUCAGAUAAUCCAGAUAAAUCCUCCGAAUUAUUGUUAUCUACUCUGGAGUUAAGACCAUUAAAUGCAAUUUGGAAGAUAAACUGUUCCCAUUUGAAAACAUAGGCAUCCAUGCAUUGAGUGAAAGGCAGUAUCUGUGUAUCUUUGACAACGGCUCUCAGGGCCUCGGAUGAUGCUCCCACCUCAAUGAAUCCACUGACCUUUUAGAAAUGCCUGGCUGUUUCUUAUACUGUGUUAGGUGACUGAGGAGGCCCCUCUGGAGAAUGAUAGGAAGUGAAUAGGUUGGUCAUGGAUAUUUUGUGAAAUCUUAUACAUGUAUUUUAUCUAUAAUGCUUAAAUGCUGUUCAGUCAGAGGGUGUCUCCAUUGAUCUGAGAUGAGGAAACCACUGAGGUGAAUAAUAACUUCAGCGGAAGCUAGGUUUUCCUAACAUCUUCAUUUAUUGCAUGAAUGCAUAUUUCCAUUAAACUCUCCUAUCUUCACUUUUCACAAAACUCUGACUAUCAUACACCACCUUUAAGGUAGCGUGGUUGAGGUUAACACCAGCUAAUUCUUAUCAACCAAUAUUGAUUGAUUAGAGUCCCAUAUAGGUUUGCGAAGGAAGAUCCAUCACUUAUGCAGAUAUUCAAAGUAAUUUUUCUAAAAUUUACAUCUCCCAGUCAAUGCAAUUAUGUCAAUGACAAAAUAGCCAUUUAAGGAAGUAGUCUUAUGUAGUCCUACAAAGCACUAAGAGCAGCUGCUAAUGCUGAAUGUGCUACAGUCAGCCCCAAACCCAAACAUUUUCUACUCAAUAAAAAAUGGCAUGCUUGAAUUCUGCUGUCCAUCAAUCUUCAUAGAGUUAUUCAAAUGGCAGGGAAUGUGUAGGCCUGUCCCUACUGCUAAAGCCUACAAGUGCAGAGUACAGAUUUGCUUCUGUACAUACAAAUCGUAUUUCUAGAGGUUCGAAUGAAUAUUGGAUGGUUGAGAACAACGAUAAAGGAUGGGAUCCCUUCUCCCAACCCUCCUAAUGUUCACUGUUCAGCCUCUUAAAAUUGUUGAUGUCUAGCCUUUAAAGCAUGAUUCUAAAGGCCAAUCUACAUGUUCUGUCACUCCUGGUUUGUUGUUUUGUUUUUAAGUGUGCUUAGACAGACCAUCAAUACUUUGAUGAAAAAGCAGCCCCAGGUUUGGAGGAUGCUCCCAAUCCAGAUCAAGGUCCAGUGCCAGUUUCCUGCUUAAAAUCCACCAUUGUGAUUUGCCCCCAAAUACUUCAUUUAUUGCAAAUAGCAUCCUUUGGGGAAGGGUGGAAUCAUCUGGAAGUGAUUGUGUGCAGGGGGUUGAAAUCAGAUUGGUAGCAGGUUCCAGAUCAGGCAUAGGCAAACUCGGACCUCCAGAUGUUUUGGGACUACAACUCCCAUCAUCCCUAGCUAGCAGGACCAGUGGUCAGGGAUGAUGGGAGUUGUAGUCCUAAAACAUCUGGAGGGCUGAGUUUGCCUAUGCCUGUUCCAGAUUAUAGCUGCAUGGGUGACUCCCCCCCCCAAAUAACCCCUCUGUAUCAUUAUUAUCAUUAUCAUUAUUGAUGAUGAUGAUAAUACAUACUACACAUUUAAGAUAAUGUGAUGUGAAGUCCUUGGGAACCUGGUAGAGGUUUUCGGGUCGAGUGGAGCUUGUGUAUAUGAGAAGCUGCUAGCACACAAAGGGUUCAUUUUUUCGGAUAUCUGUACUCAACAUGCAAAGGUUGGAGGUAGUAUGGUGAUGGAGGCACCAUAUCAAGGCUUCACUUCUGCUGCUACAAGUCUGUGCCUUGCAUGUGUGAACCUUGUUUUAGAGGACAUUUUCAAUGGGAAGAUUCACUGUGCUACUUUGAACAACUUUGAGAUGCUUAGGGUCAAUAGCAGAAUUGCUUGGCUUCUGAAAUCAGGCAGACUAGCCCGGAUCCAUCUAGUGCAAUAAUCCCCCCACUUUUUAGCAAUGCAAAGAAAAUCCAAAAACAUCUUUAAGUCCAGGGUACCUGCAAUUCCAAAGUUCUCCUGUUUCUCUCGUUGCCUUUUUCCAGAUCUUCUCCCCUCUAACUAGCCUUGGGGCUGAAUGCCAAAGUUCAUGCUCCAGCUGAGAAACAGCUGUGUUUUGGAGGGCAAUAUUCCCUCUAACAUCAAUUUUCUUUCCCAAUUUGGAUACCUGGCUGAUAUUAGUUCUGCUGUGAUGAAUUACUAUGACUUCAAGAGGACGUAUGGGAACUCUGGUGUUGUGCCACCAUAUUAACAAUGGAUUCCAAGCAGCACGUUGCCUCUUACCAAAUAAUUCAGGGCACCAGCAACGUGCCCAGAAGUCCAUUAAGUUUUGUGUGUGUGUCAUCUUUUAUAGUCCAUCAAAAUUGUCUUAAAAUAUAAUGGUUUUGCAUCUAGGCAAUUUGGAUCUACAUUAUGUAGAAUCCUUGGACAAUCUAGCCAAUAAAGAUUCACUUUUUUGCUCUGCCCUGGGCAUUAAUAGUUGUUGACUUUGGGCAAGUCACUUCAGCAAACAGGAAGAAAAGUUGACCUACUUAUUCACAGGUUUGCUGUAAGGACAAUGAGAUGAACUAUAAAGGACAUUGUACAGUGCUACCUCGGGUUACAUAUGCUUCAGGUUACAGACUCUGCUAACCCAGAAGUAGUACCUCGGGUUAAGAACUUUGCUUCAGGAUGAGAACAGAAAUUGUGCUCUGGCGGUGUGGCAGAAGCAGGAGGCCCCAUUAGCUAAAGUGGUGCUUCAGGUUAAGAACAGUUUCAGGUUAAGUACGGACCUCUGGAACAAAGUAACCCGAGGUACCACUGUUUUGGCCAUGGACUGCAGAACUGUUUAAAAUAUUGGAGAACAUAAUUGCACAUAUUAUUCAUUUCAUUUAUUUAUUUAACAAUAUUUGUGUUAAGUUUUGGGGAGCAUCUGUUGUGGGCACCUACAUAUUUGGGAAUGUCUCCUUAUUUUGAACUGCCUGGUUACUUUGACAUGGCCCAUCGGGACAAAGCAGAUACUUUAGAUUCCUUCACUCUGUUUCCAUCCUGUUUAUUUGCAUUUCUGAGUUAUUUCCAGGCAAAAAUAUGAGAAGAGACCCUGCCUUCAAUCAUAAAGUUUCCAACCUCAUUCUGCUGGGCAUUCAGAGAAUGAUUACUUUGGCAACAAGGAUACGAUUAUGUUGAAUCUGGCAAUGUAUAAUACAGUGCUGGAUUUUGACAGAGUUGUUUGAACAUGUGCUGCUGUUCUGUGGUUUUAUUUUAUGAAUCCAGGAGUCACAGACGAAUAAGGAGGAAGAUAUGGCAAGACUUCAUUGACCAGCAGCAGAGAGGUUAUGGUUGCAUAGGAUGUGUGAUCCAACAGUGUGUGGCCCAGGGACAGUGGCUUGGGAGGCACUUCAGCCUCUGGGCCUGCUGUUCCUCUCCCCAAUACAGUGGUACCUCAGUUUUCAAACAGCUUAGUUCACGAACAACUUGGAACCCGAACACUGCAAAACCAGAAGUAGGUGUUCCGGUUUUUGAACUUUAUUUUGGAAGCCAAACGUGCUCCGUUUUGCAUCCCCCUGUGUUCCCUGUUGCGCUGCUAAUUUGCGUCCCCCUGUGUUUUCUGUUGUGCUGCUAUUUUGCGUCCCACCUCCACCCCCUGGUUGUAAUUCAAGCCUUCCACUUCCGAUUGCAGUGUUCUGAGGUGAUAUUUGGAGCUUAUAUUUGGUGCUUUUGUUUUUGCUAUUUAUUUUGCAUUUUUUGUUUUGAGACUUUUUCAGUUAAUUUGUUUUUGUGACUGUGUGGAUCCCAGUUCAGCUACUGAUUGAUUGAUUGAUUGAUUGAUUGAUUGAUUGUGUGACUGCAGAAAUGGAUAAAAGCCCCCCCAUCCAAAAAAUGACUAUCAUCAGUACAGGUGAGAAUUUUUUUUAAUUUUUAUUUUUAUCAUCUACAAUACUGUUUGAUUUAUUUUAUAGUAAAGUACGUUGAUUAUUGCUUUCAUUUUAUGGAUCAGUGGUCUUGCUAGAUAGUAAAAUUCAUGUUAAAUUACUGUUUUAGGGGUUGUUUUUAAAAGUCUAGAACGGAUUAAUCUGUUUUGCAUUACUUUCUAUGGGAAAGUGUGCCUUGGUUUUGGAAUGCUUUGGUUUUGGAACAGACUUCCGGAAUAGAUUAAGUUUGAGAACCAAGGUACCACUGUAUACUCCUUUGCCAACAAUGGAGAUCUCCAACUAGAUACAUGUGCCCUACAAGAUGUCAGCAGCACAAUUAGGAGCAUGGUCUCACUGCCCCCCACCCCCCGCUUUCUACAUGUAGCUUCUGUGCAUGGCAGACAAUUGAAUAGGGCUAGUGUUUCAAAUACAAGAAUGCAAUAUCAGAGCAACUCAGUAUGCAUUAUAGAGUGCAUUGUAUGAUUAACAUCUCUUUCUAAAACUAAUCACACCAAAUAAGUCCAGCAGCACUUCUUUGGCUCGUUUGCUUCUUCAGCCUCCGGGUUACAACCAGAAAGCAAACAGGCUUUUACAAUGCCUGGCAUCACAAGGCAACACAUCUGAGUUCAAGUACAAAACAAUGUUGCUUGAAGUUAAUCAGGAGCAGAGCAAAAUAAUGAGAGGCCCCCGUUCCAGGCUUCUGCAGCUAACUCAUUUGCUUCCAAUAUUGUUAUGACUGCAGGUCAUUGGAUGUUGUCUCAGACAGACACAGUAUGCUAAAAUCUAGCAGUGAAGAGAAUGGAUAUGGAUAGACAAACACGCAUGGAAAACUGAAAAUUAAAAACAAAUAACUACCCUGCUGCCACAUGGCUGCCCUCUCACCACAAAAUGAUUCCAAUAGCUGUAAGCUUAGAUACUUCACAAGUUUCCAAGGUUGUUUCCUAUCCAUUGUGCAUGUGUGUUGAAAUCUGCUUCCUGCAGGAACAUUUCUCCUAAUACCAAGAGGAAGAAUUAUAAAAUGAUGGAGCUGUCAGCCCUUAUUACUCACAAUGCUGAUUAACUUCUGGCAACUUUCUUUUAAAAAUGUAAGGUUUCUGGUUUCACUGCAAGGGGGGGGGGGACCCAAAUGUUUCUAGCGUCUGCUGUCUAUCUCGUUCAAUAUUUAUCAAGAGCCUAACUUGUAUUUUCCCACUACACUUUUUAAAAAUGAGUAUGUUGGGAUUGCUUUUCAAUUAUGCUCAACAUGAUGCUUUUGAAUAAUGUGCUAUUUGGAUAGGGAAGAAGUGACCAAAUGCAUGUUGGAUACAGAAUGUAGCGCCACAUCCAUCUUUAAUUUGUCUAGGUAUUAUUAGCUGAACUCUCUCUGUUCAAAUUUGACUCUUUGGUGUCACCUCGGAUAAAGGACUACAUUAAACAACUUGGGAGGGAAGCUAAGCUAUUCCUCCAAGGGACCACUUGGAUGUGCAGAGGAGCCUGCCUGCUGUUCCCUUUGAAAAUGUGUGCCAGAAUGCUGCAUGCGAGCUAUGGACCCUCUUUGUUGUUGUCAUCCAUAUGUCUCAAGAGAAAACUGAGUAUGCCUCAAGGGGUGAAGUGUAACCAUGUAACCAUGUCUUAGUAGCACCUAAGUGACCUUUGGCAGUGUAUAUGGGGGUCCUGGGCUGCCCAGAUGACAAGACCCCCAUCUCGACCUUACUAAUGUGGUCCAAAGCUAAGCAGAGCAAUACAUUUGGCACCUGCUUACCUGGAAGGAGGUGUGCAAGGCACCAUCUAACCCAGGGGUCAGCAAACAUUUUCAGCAGGGGGCUGGUCCACUGUCCCUCAGACCUGGGGGGCGGACUAUUUUUUUUGGGGGGGGGGGAUGAAUGAAUUCCUAUGCCCCACAAAUAACUCAGAGAUGCAUUUUAAAUAAAAGGACACAUUCUACUCAUGUAAAAACACGCUGAUUCCCGGACCGUCCGUGGGCCAGACUGAGAAGGCAAUUGGGCUGGAUCCGGCCCCUGGGCCUUAGUUUGCCUACCCAUGAUCUAACCAUCUUAGGGAUGUGGGUGGGGCUGUGGUUUAAACCACUGAGCCUCUUGGGCUUGCUGAUUGGAAGGUCGGCGGUUCGAAUCCCCGCGACGGGGUGAGCUCCCGUUGUUCUGUCCCAGCUCCUGCCAACCUGGCAGUUCAAAAGCACGCCAGUGCAAGUAGAUAAAUAGGUACCACUAUGGCAGGAAGGUAAACGGUGUUUCCAUGCCCUCUGGUUUCCAUCACGGUGUCCCAUUGUGCCAGAAGUGGUUUAGUCCUGCUGGCCCCAUGACCUGGAAAGCUGUCUGUAAACAAACGCCGGCUCCCUCAGCCUGAAAGCGAGAUGAGUGCCGCAACCCCAGAGUCGCCUUUGACUGGACGUAACUGUCCAGGGGUCCUUUCCUUUUCCCCCUAUGUUAUCAAACCAUUUCUUAACCCUUUCUUAAGUUUAAAAACCAUGAGUGUAGAUCCGCCCACAGUAAACAUUUGAGAUUAUUAUUACCCUAUCCUGUGCUAUUUUUCUAGAAAAAGGGGUGCCUUUACUGGACCUAACCAUCCAGGGGUCCUUUACCUUUUACCUUUACCUAACCAUGUUAAGGACUCCACUCUGGAUUUGUGUAGGGUUUACUUAGCCUUUUCUUCUCCCGAAGGUAUCCCACAAGGCAGUGGAAGUUUAGAAUCAGAGUUUUCCUUCUUUUAGAUGGACUACCUCCCCAGGUUGAUGAGUCCCAUCUGCCCAUCAUUUCCCUCUACAGCACAUGCAGAAACCGCCUUCUUGAUGUUUGGAAACACUAUUGGUCUCAUCUCCUGAAGCCUGUCUUCGCAUGCAGGGGAAGUCUCUAACUCAACAAGGGUUUGUCAUGUAAGUCAUUUUGUGACCAUCUGUGGUGAAAACUGGUCUAUAAAUAUUGGAAAUAAAUAAAAAUGAAUUCCAUGGGUCAUGUGUGUGUGUGUGUGUGUGUGUGUGUGCAUACAUAGACAGUCUUAGUUUAAUCGCAGGGAACAUUUUGGUAGGGAACAUUUCUUGAAUCCUCAGAUAAUGGUGAAUUUGCCAUUCUUUAAUGGGCUUCAAAGCUAAUAUGUAAUACCUGAGUAAUUUUGAAAAUAUAAUUUAUGGCACAUGUUAAAUACAAAAGGAACACAGGUGGUGCUGUGGGUUAAACCACAGAGCUUAGGACUUGCCAAUCAGAAGGUUGGCGGUUCAAAUCCCUGCAACCGGGUGAGCUCCCGUUGUUCGGUCCCUGCUCCUGCCAACCUAGCAGUUCAAAAGCACAUCAAAGCGCAAGUAGAUAAAUAGGUACCGCUCCGGUGGGAAGGUAAACGGCGUUUCCGUGCCCUGCUCUGGUUCACCAGAAGCGGUUUAGUCAUGCUGGCCACAUGACCCAGAAGCUGUAUGCCGGCUCUCUCAGCCAAUAAAGCGAGAUGAGCGCCACAACCCCAGAGUCGGUCACGACUGGACCUAAUGGUCAGGGGUCCCUUUACCUUUAUGUUAAAUGCAUCCAAACAAACAACAGAAUUCAGAAAAUGCUGUUCCUCACUUUCCCCCCUCAGAAGUGGGUGUUUUUGUCAGCUUGAUGGAGAAAUAAUAUUUUGAGCAAUUAUAUCAAAUGCUGGUUAACAGAUUUUUUAAGCCAAAUGGGAAAGUCCUCUGUGUGUCAGGACUAUAUAAUGGAUCCUUUAGGACAUGCUUUGAAAGUUUCAGUCACAUUUGUAUGGGAGACAAAAUCAGGGAUGGGGAACCUGUGGCCCCCUAGAUGUUGUUCAACUCCAACUUCUACCAGUGCUAGCCAACGUGACAAAUGGUCAGCGACGAUGAGAUGUAUAGUCAAAGAGCAUCUGAAGGUCCACAAAUUCCUAAUCCCUAAAUCUUUGCAUGCUUAAAUACAAAGAACUUUAGGAAGUACCAUCUCAACCUUAAAAAAAGAAUGCAACAUCUGUAUAAAUCCCUAGAUUUUUAUUUUUCCAUAACUUGUCACAUGAAGAACAAAAAAGUGGAAGUAGUAUUAAAAGAUAUAGUUAUUUGUUUGUUUGUUUGUUAAUCAAUGAAUGUACAAGUUGGUACUUCAGUCAGCGGCUGACUGAAGUCAUCUGUGUUACCCCAAGGCAAGAACCAUUUUGAGCAGCAGGAUAAUCCCCAAAGCAGAGUUAAUCAACUGGAAACCAGUCAUGUUUGUGUCUAUCGAAUGGUAAUGUGGGUUUAAUUAAGACAAGUAUCUCGUUCUGCCUAAGGGUGGGGAAACGUUAUGAAGAACUUUGCUAGAGGAACAAAAUAUUGGCAGUUGACUAUGCAUGCUGCCUGAAAUAUUGGUUUUAUAUACAUCCUUCAAAUGGCUUAGCUCUUUAUGAAGGGGGAAACCCCAGAAAUUUAUGCUGCCUUCCAUAAUGAUAUAUUAAACAUUACAACCGAGGGUAUUUUUAAGAUUAUUUUUAGUGGUUUUCAAAUUAUUAUAGAACCAUGAAGACAUAUAAAUAAUAACCUAAACAUAUUAAAUAAUAACACCCAGUUCUAAGAUCAUGGCAAAUCUAAAUCUAAAACUGAAUCUAAACUACAGUCGUACCUCGGGUUGUGAUUGCUGCGGGUUGCGUGUUUUCAGGUUACGGUUGCGCCGAACCCGGAAGUACCGAAUCACGUCACGCGCUUGCGCAGACGCAGCGCUGCGGGUUGCGAACGUGCCUCCCGCACGGAUCACAUUCGCAACCCGAGGUUCCACUGUACAUGAAAUGAAAACUCGCCCUACUGUGUAGAAAUGAUCAGAAUCUUCCUGUCUCUUGGAAACCUGUAACUUAAGUGUUUUCCACCCCCCCUGCAGUAACUAAAUUCCAGAGGUUUUUAGAACAUAAGGAUGUAGUCAGAUCUUUAAACUAUUUCCCUUGUUGUGCUAUAGAGAUCCUGGCAGCUUCCAGCAUCCAUGUCAAAAGUUCCUUUUGGUGAACGGUCUUCGUAGUAUCUGUCCACUUAUCUAGUUUUUAAAAAGAAUUAUGUAGAAUUAAUAGGCUUGACUGGAAUUCUUCCCAGAACUGAGAACUUCUCAUUUAUUUCAGCUAAACAUAGUAUAAGCCCAAAUGUCAUCAAGUCCACCUGACAUUCACGCAUCUGCGGCUUUGCCAAUUAUUUAGUGUCCUGUAUGUAUUUAAUUCACAGGUUAAAAUGCAUGGAAAAAAACUGCACUUUAAUCAGUGCCAAUAAAAAAAAGGAAAAUCCUACAUGAAUCAAAUGUGGGAAACACAGAAGAAAUACAGGAAUCCAGUCUUUCCAGAAUGUGUCAGCUACGGCGGUGGCCAUAGAAUGCAGUGAAUUUUUUCAUAGGGGAACAGUUAGGGCCAGAGGCGACAGUUGCGAGGGGGGUGAUGUCAUGCAUGUGACAUUGUGACGUCCUGAUGUUGUGCACGUGAGCAUCACGCUUCCCUCCCUAAGCCGGUCAGGAGCUUCCUGGGCUCUGACAAGAUGCUGGAGCCCUCUUGCCUUCUUCCAAAAGCUGGAUGGGUUUUGGGAAGAUGGUAGGACAGAUCUUGGACCCAUCAGAGCAUCAUACCUCCCUCCCUAAGCCAGGCAGAAGCUUUCUGGGCUUUGGGGAGACAUCACCAGGGGAAAAUUUAGGAGACUAGCCUAGUCCCCUUAGUCUAAUGACCUCACACCACUGGGGGAUAAAUGUCCUUCCUUUCUUAUUAUAGCUACCAUGGAGAAAAGGUCUAUCAAUGUUUAUGAGUGGUUAUGGUUAAUGGGACUGCCAGAUAAGAGACCCAGCUUGUCACAUCUCCAACACCAUGCCUUUUCUUGUCCGUGGCCAGUUGUAUGUUGCAUUCACUCAUUCAUUUAACUGCAGCUGUGCCUGGUCCCAAUGGGACAGUUAGAGAUGGAGGCAGGGAGCCCAGCAGCAGGUGGAGCCAGAGCCAAUGGCAGCUGAAGCCAUUCCACGCAGAGUUCCCAGCUUCCUGUUUGUUUCCUCCUUAUUUUCACUGGCUUUUAAAAGUGCUUCCUGAAUAUAUACUUGCCUGUCAAGGCCCCGAGCCCUCCCCAUUUGAUGGAUAAUAAGACACAUCAUCAUCAAACCUUUUAUUGGCAUCACAUACAAACAUUCAAAACAAAUCAGUUCAGAAUUACCACUUCCCCAGUGGCAUUUGCUACAUUUGCUAAAAGAAAGGAGGCAGAGCAGUCUAUCGUCACAUCUCUAGGUCUCCAGGGAGAUCAGACGUCUGCAGUGUAUUUCGACGACAAAGAACCAAAUAGAGAUAUUUUACCACUAACUUGGUGAGCUCCUGAUCAUUCCCCAGUAAUAGAAAAUGUAUGACCUCCAACUCUGGUUUCCAUUUGGUGAUACAGAGUUGAUCUAGAAAUUGCUGAUGGACUAUAGUCUGAUACCCACUAAAAUGAUGCCCUACGUGGUUGAAUAAGACACAUGGACACCAGUAUUUUGGGUUAAUCUGCUAAUUAAGGCCACAACUUUAUUGGUUACAAAAUGUGAGUGGUAUUGGCUUAGGCACUGGAACUGAACUGACUAUAUUGGGACUCCUGCCCACCAUGCAGGUAGUCCAGUAAGGGUCAACUACCAGUAGGGGGAGCCCUGUUGAUGUACCUCAACUGAGAGCUCCCCCAGGGUCCCUGAUGGCCCUAGCCCCUACCCGGGCUUUGGAUGAGAUCCACACCCCCAGAUCCCUUUAACGGAAUACCCUUAAAGAGGAGGGACAGGUGAUGGCCACAAUCUCCCCUCCCAUGAACCAGGUUUUACCAAUGAUUAACCGCCAAACCUUACAAAGUUGUGAGGAUUGCUACAAGGUAGGCGAAAAUCAAAUCGCAUUCCUACCAGGCCCCCUCAACAGGUGACCAACCAAGGUCCAUAGCAAGGCCAAGAUGUUGAACACAUGAAAAGAGGAUGGGAGGGCAGGAGAUCUGCAGACGCGGGAACAAGAGGGCGAUGCCCCAGCCGUGCAGCUGCUUAAAUGCUGUAAACCACACGCACACCCACCAACCGGAUUGGUCGGCUGGAGGUGUGACGUGGCCGGGGCUCCCCUCUGCUGCGAGGACACUGCCACUCCCCUGCUGUGCACAGGGAGGGUGUGUGGCCUGCCUGCAACACCGUCCCACAGGGAAGGUGAGCAGCCAUCUCAGCCAGGAUAAAGAAGUGCAUCUUCAGCAUUUGCCAACAGCUGUAUAUGCCUUUUAGUCCAACCAAAUAAACACUAUACAGUGGUACCUCAGGUUACAUACGCUUCAGGUAACAUACGCUUAAGGUUACAGACUCCGCUAACCCAAAAAUAGUGCUUCAGGUUAAGAAAUUUGCUUCAGGAUGAGAACAGAAAUUGUGCGGUGGCAGCGGGAGGCCCCAUUAGCUAAAGUGGUGCUUCAGGUUAAGAACAGUUUCAGGUUAAGAACGGAGCUCCGGAAUGAAUUACUGUAAUUUUUGCUCUAUAAGACUCACUUUUUCCCUCCUAAAAAGUAAGGGGAAAUGUGUGUGCGUCUUAUGGAGCGAAUGCAGGCUGCACAGCUAUCCCAGAAGCCAGAACAGCAAGAGGGAUUGCUGCUUCUGCGUGCGAUCCUCUUGCUGUUCUGAGAUUCAGAAUAUUUUUUUUCUUGUUUUCCUCCUCCAAAAACUAGGUGCGUCUUGUGGUCUGGUGCGUCUUAUAGAGCGAAAAAUACGGUAAGUACUUAACCCAAGGUACCACUGUGUGUGUGUGUGUGUGUGUGUGUGUGUGUGUGUGUGUGUAUAUCUAUAUCUAUAUCUAUAUCUAUAUCUAUAUCUAUAUCUCUAUCUCUAUCUCUAUCUCUAUCUCUAUCUCUAUCUCUAUCUAUAUCUAUAUCUAUAUCUAUAUCUAUAUCUAUAUCUAUAUCUAUAUCUAUAUCUAUCCAUAUAUAUAUAUAUAUGAAGAAAUCUGAACGACACGUUGAUGAAUUUCCACACGGAUUUCAUAAAUAGCUGCAGAAGUGAAUUUAAGAGUGGGGAAAUGAGGAAUGCCGAGAACCGAAAUUGGUAGAUUUCUCUAUCGCGACUGUCCGCUGAUCCUAAUAAACUGAGCAUCCCACAAUGUUCUGUUGCUGCUUGGUAUGUGCAGAGAUAUAGGUUUCUAAGACUAAAUGGACCAACACAGUGCGCUGCAUGGGGCAGUGGCUAUAGUGACUGUCACUAUAUAGUGUGCCUUUCAGAAUGUACCACCAAACCACACUAAGCCCUAUCAGUGCUAAAGUGAAAACGCAUUUUGAAACCUUAUGGUUACAUUUGCCAUACUGAUUCCAUAGGGUGGUAAUUUUAACAUCCCAAUGCUACCUUUGAAAAAAGUAAGCAAAUUAGCUGUACAAAGAUACUGUGUCUGAUUUGAUUAAAAGGAACAACAGCAUUCCUCAUUCUGUUAGCUCUCAGAGGUUGCCUUGAGAUUUCCACAGUGCUAGUUACAUUCUCUAAUAUCUUGAACUUACCUUCUUUUUGGGAGCUACAGAAUAAUGAGAUUACUGAAUCUCAUUGGUUUUUGCUCAGCAGGCUGCCUCUGCAGCAGUGAAUCAGCUUCUCAUGACGGGGGUGACACUGAUCACAAGCAGUCCUCAUGAGAAUAAACAGAAAAAGUUGACUGAAGUCUGUUGUCGCAGAGGCCAAUCGUAUUGGCCUCUUCACACUCAGAAAGAGCUAAGCCUUAUUCAAACUCCUGCUGCUGUAAAAAGAGGGGGUGUCACGAGGUCUAGUUAUCUGCCUGGUUUCCGAAUUACUACACAAAUCCCAAAGCAUUUGAGCACUUUAUCUCAAAGGACAGCUUUCUGGCAUACGCUGCAAAGAGUAAAUUGAAGGGGUCUCUCAGGUCACAGCAGAAAAACGAAUGGGUGUUUUAAUAUUCAUAAACAAAAGUUAAGCUGAAAAGAGAAUAAACUGUGUGCUAUAAUAUGAUAUGCAUUAUUAAAGAGCACAAAAUCAGAAUAAAGUAUUCUGAUUUCUAGGGCUGAAGCAAGCCAGCAUAAAUAAAAUCAGAGCACAUUUAAGCUGGCAAAACUUAGAAAGCAGUCCCUAUUUUCCAACUAAGAAAUGUUUGCUAGUUUUGCUCAACUGGAUUUUCAUACAUUGACAUGUUCAAGAGUUAUCAGUGAAUGCUGCCCUAAGAUCUGUUGCAUACUUCACCCCAGUAUGUAGGCAGGAUCCAGCAGGAACCAUGACAUAUGCAAGCAGGUAAAUACUCACAUAAUAAUAAUGAUAAUAAUAAUAAUAAUAAUAAUUUAUUAUUUAUAGCCUGCCCAUCUGACUGGGUUUCCCCAGCCACUCUGGGUGGCUCCCAACAGAGUAUUAAAAACAUGAUAGGACAUCAAACAUUUAAAAAUUACCUAAGCAGGGUUGCCUUCAGAUGUCUUCUAAAAGUCAGAUAGUUGUUUAUUUCCUUGACAUUUGACGGGAGGGCAUUCCACGGGGUGGGCGCCACUACCAAGAAGGCCUUGUGCCUGGUUCCCUGUAACCUCACUUCUCGCAGUGAGGGAACCGCCAGAAGGUCUACAAAGCUGGACAUCAGUGUUCGGGCUGAACGAUGGGAGUGGAGACGCUUCUUCAGGUAUACUGGGCCGAGGCUGUUUAGGGCUUUAAAGAUCAGCACCAACACUUCACACUUCACUUCACAAAGGUCAGCACCAAUCACAGUAUUGAUUCAUCCCCUUUCAAGAGUGGACCGCUCCUCUGACUUGGGUCUGCUAAAUGUCACUGUGGUCUACUGGAAGGAAGAGGCGAGGCAGUGAGGUGGUCACUGCUGUGUGACUGCAGUGGCAGAGGUGCUGAAUUACUUCCACUAGCAAGGUUAAAGCAUUUCUACUUACUCAGUGCUUUCAGACCUUUUAGCUAUUUGGUCUUUUUCUUCUUUAAAAAAGCUUAGCUUUGAAAUAUACACACACAAAUCUUGGCUUCAUUCAUUUUUAAAUAUGCACGCAAUUUUACUUUUCCAUAUUGUUGACGGUUGAUUGGAAGGCUGUGUGUUUUGUCAUAACGAGAACAUAAACCACCUUGAGUUGUUCAAUGGAAAGGCCGUAUAGAAAUGUUAAUAAUAAUAAACAUUGAAUACCAUUCCAAUUAGAUAUAUGUAAGACACCAUCUAGAAGCCACUGUUAGACACCUUUAGAGAUUUCAUUACAAGCGGAACAUAAGGAAAACGACUAAUGUGAAUGUUAACAUUGUAUAGCCAGCAAAGCUGCCGGCGAAUACUUGAAGGGAAACUGAAAAUGUGUUGAUGUCUUUAGACUUUUUGGCUAAGGAUCUUUCCACAGUUAAUGUGCCAAAUUUAGGAAUGUUGGGCUGAAGUGUCUGAUCAAUAAUUAAAACUACGAUUUCAAAAGCCAUAAACAGACUCCUGCCUAAUGUAAGGUCCUCCCUCCCAUUCAGUGAAGGUUGUUUUUUCCCCCUCAGUUACUGAGCAACAGCCGCAUAAAGCAAAUAAUUCACUUCUGGCCACCUCUAUUUCUUCCUUGCUCUGCAGUUUUUCAGAUGAAGAUUGGAUGUUGAGUUUAUUUACGCACUUCAUUAGUCUCUCUCUACUGUAAGAUGGUUUCGUUUGUUUUUUUACAACUGAGAAAAAAGCGAAGAAUUAUUUAGACAUUUUAGAAGGAAAUUUAGGAAUCUGGGGAAUAGGCAUUCAGAGCUUUCAGCAGAAGCAAUGGAGGCAAAGUGUGAGUGAAUGGAUAAGUUUUAAGAGAGUUCAGUAAAAACUUGCAGGAAAAGGAAAAGAAAGAAGUCUGCAGAACCAAAUGAUUCAACAGAUUCAAUCAGUAUAAUUGAUUUGACAUUUUCCAUAUCUUUGCCAGCUUUGAGUAGAAUGCUCCAGAUUCAGGCAACAUUGAUCAGCUGCUCUGUUGGGCCUUAAGGGAUUUAAGGUCCUCCUUCAAGUAGCAGCCUACAACCACAACAAAUAACCUAACCUCUAGGUUAAGGUGAAAGAUUUAUAGGAUCUUAAGAGAAACCAGAAGGUGUCCUGGUUUCUGAUUUGAUCACAGAAUGUCCCGCUUUUCCUUAAGGUAAAGGUAAAGGGACCCCUGACCAUUAGGUCCAGUUGUGCCUGACUCUGGGGUGCGAAGCUCAUCUCGCUUUAUUGGCCGAGGGAGCCGGCGUACAGCUUCCGGGUCAUGUGGCCAGCAUGACUAAGCUGCUUCUGGCGAACCAAAGCAGUGCACGGAAAUGCCGUUUACCUUCCCACCAUAGUGGUACCUAUUUAUCUACUUGCACUUUGACGUGUUUUUGAACUGCUAGGUUGGCAGGAGCAGGGACUGAGCAACGGGAGCUCACCCCGUCGCGGGGAUUCGAACUGCCGACCUUCUGAUCAGAAAGCCCUAGGCCCUGUGGUUUAACCCAUGUCCCUAUUUUCAUCAGAGAAAUGUUGGAGGGUAUGGAGUUAAGUGAUCCCCAAGCCAAUGAGAUGAGUAACUUUACAACCUUGAGAAGACAUCUGAAGGCAGCCCUAUAUAGGGAAGUUUUGCAAUGUUUAAUGUUUUGUUCUGUUUUUAUAUGUUGGAAGCUGCCCAGAAUAGCUGCGGCAACCCAGUGAGAUGGGCAGGAAAUAAUAAUAAUAAUAAUAAUAAUAAUAAUAAUAAUAAUAAUAAUAACUGUCAAGGCUGCCUCAAGUCUCAGCUCACAAAAGACCAACGCCUAUGUCUUCUUAUAUACAAAGGUGUUUAUUGCAGUCCAUUCUUUGCUUGACAUCCUAGGCGCGCAGCCUUACGUCUCUUACGCUUAGACCGCUGAAGUCCCCUCUGAAUCCGUCCCUCCCCUGCACCAAUUUAAGAGGCUUGUGCUGCUCCACCUCUUUCUCUCCUUCCUUUUCCGCAGGGUCCUUCUGCCCGCUGGGGUUUCGCCCUCCUGGAUUCCUCUGACGCGGAAUCAGACUGCUCUUCCCCCUCCUGCGGGCUUUGGGACCUGGCCCCUCCUCCGGGCUCCCUGUACUUCCGCGCGCCGCUUCAUUUGAACGAGGCGCGCGCGCCAAACCUCUAACUGUCCUUUUGACAGUUACACUACUCCCUUCACUGCUCCCCUCCCCGUCCGGGAGGGCGGCUUGCUCUGACCUCCCUCCUUUCUCUGCUGCCGGAGCUGCUUCCUCUGACACACUGGAAACUCCACCCUCUUCGCUGCACUCUGGUGGGGAGGCUGGUCCUGACGCCCAGCUGCCACUUUGGGAUCCUCCGCUGGCCCCCUGCUCCUGACACGUCCCCCUGGGGCUCCCCUGGCCUUGACCACCGGCGCCCCCUUCUGGGAAUCCUCUGAUUCGCUGGAAAGACUCAUGGAAUCUCUUGAAUCAUUGUCAUCCUCUUCCUCGCUGGCUUGUAAUUCUUCCCCAUCGCUCUCCAUCUCCUGCCUACCCUGUGCCUCUCUCCCUGAACCCCUGACAAUAAUAAUAAUAAUAGGUCCAUAUUUUCACUGGAGAAAUGUUGAGAGUAUGCUGGAGAGGCACAGAUUUCUCAUCUAGAUUGUAGGCAGUGCAACCACCCUUUUCCCUCCUCAGCCAUUCUUCUGAAAACUCGAGUCUUAUUACAAGUAAUUCCAACAAGUUGAGAUGAAAUCAGAAAGAAACUCAGGAGCAAAAGCAUUUGCCAUAAUGCAGAACCAUAAAAAUAAUGUCAGAUAAACACCUUCAGUCCAUCUGUAUACUCUGUAGACAAGACCAUGCACACAUGCCAUUAAGAUAAUGUAAGUAGUCCCCUCCCAUUCCUUUUGCUUUUUCAAAUUCUAUAUUAAUCUUAUUUCAUUGCUAUUUCGUCUAGUAGCUCUGUUUCUUUGAAAUUAUCCUUCCCACCAUAAAGCAUUGAUUGGAAUGGAACAACUUGGUGCUCUUAGGUUUAUUAUAUAAUUUCUCAUCAUUAUGAAAAUGCUUCUAAUGUAAACGAGGGGGACAAAAACCACCCACAAAAUGCAUUUAUGUCUUCCUUCAUGGCCUGUCAUAACUGUAUAAACUGUGCAGCAUAUUGGAAAAGUACAUAUUUAUAUAGAUUGCUAAAUAAACAUUCUUACUACAACCUUGGCACUAUGUGCUAAAGAAUGGAGAUAAUAAACAGACCACUGAGGUUUAUUUUAAAUGCAGCCCCCUGUACCUAUUUAUUCAUGGAUAGUUGUAGCCCUACCUUCUUUCCACAAUGGACCUCAAUACAGCUGUGAAUACCAAUAUUCUACAAAUCAGUUUUUACCAUAGGACAUUUGCAGUUUAUUCCUUUUCAGAGAUGUUAUCCUUUCACAAAUCAAUACACUUAGAUAACUAUAAAUCGCAUUCCAUUGUAUAAUCAUAAUGCCGAUGAAGAAAUGGUUCCCUGCUCUAGGGUUGCCAUAUUUCAAAAACUAAAAACCAAGACACCCUGAAACUUGUUGAGUGAUUUUUCAAUUGACUUGCCUACGAUCCAGGACAAAGCGCCAUCUUUUGGAAAUUACCCCUCGGACAUCAAUUCCACCUUUGAAAUCCUGGUAAUGUCCGGGGGAAUCCAGACGUAUGGCAGCCCUACUGCUACACACGAGAGAUUUUGCUGUUGUUGUUUAGUCGUUUAGUCAUGUCCAGCUCUUCGUGACCCCAUGGACCAAAGCACGCCAGGCACUUCUGUCUUCCACUGCCUCCCGCAGUUUGGCCAAACUCAUGCUGGUAGCUCGAGAACACUGUCCAACCAUCUCAUCCUCUGUCAUCCCCUUCUCCUUGUGCCCUCCAUCUUUCCCAACAUCAAGGUCUUUUCCAGGGAGUCUUCUCAUGAGGUGGCCAAAGUAUCGGAGCCUCAGCUUCAGGAUCUGUCCUUCCAGUGAGCACUCAGGGCUGAUUUCCUUCAGAAUGGCUAGGUUUGAUCUUCUUGCAGUCCAUGGGACUCUCAAGAGUCUCCUCCAGCACCAUAAUUCAAAAGCAUCAAUUCUUCGGCGAUCAGCCUUCUUUAUGGUCCAGCUUUCACUUCCAUACAUCACUACUGGGAAAACCAUAGCUUUUACUAUACGGACCUUUGUUGGUAAGGUGAUGUCUCUACCUUUUAAUAUGCUGUCUAGGUUUGUCUAGAGAUUUUAUCUGUGUACAACUGUUUGCAGAAAGUCUGCAUGUGGACACUGAUAGUUUAGAUGGAAGUGUUCUGCAGAAUCCCAUUUUGUGCCAGUACAAGGAGCCUCCAGCCACAAAGGUCUGCACAGUCCUUUUCUGUAUUUAAAAAUCUCUUUGAAUCUUUCUCCCUGAAAUUUUUAGGUUGCUCAAAGGAUCUGACUAAUAUGGAGAAUUGUGCUCAGAGGCUGCACAUCUAAUAUGAGAAAUGAGCAAUAAAGACAGUGAGUGACCCGGGAUAUACGGCAGCCUUAUUUUUAUGGGUGUGUUUUUUUACCUCAUCUUUUAAUGCAAAGAAUGUUCAAGGUGGCAUCCAACAAUAAAAUGAGCAAGCAUCACCAGAGUUUUCUCUCUGAAGAGCAUUAGAGAGGGGAAAGUGUACCUGAUCUGUCUGAUUAAUGAAAUGAAGUAUAGGACAAAAAUCUGUAUAGUUAAAGCUAUGGUUUUCCCAGCAGUGAUGUAUGGAAGUGAGAGCUGGACCAUAAAGAAGGCUGAUCGCCGAAGAAUUGAUGCUUUUGAAUUGGGCUGCUGGAGGAGACUCUUGAGAGUCCCGUGGUCUGCAAGAAGAUCAAACGCAUCCAUCCUGAAGGAAAUCAGCCCUGAGUGCUCACUGGAAGGACAGAUCCUGAAGCUGAGGCUCCAAUACUUUGGCUACCCCAUGAGAAGAGAAGACUCCCUGGAAAAGACCCUGAUGUUGGGAAAGAACGAGGGCACAAGGAGAAGGAGACGACAGAGGACGAAAUGGCUGGACAGUGUUCUCGAAGCUACCAGCAUGAGUUUGACCAAACUGCGGGAGGCAGUGGAAGAUAGGAGUGCCUGGCGUGCUCUGAUCCAUGGGGUCACGAAGAGUCGGACAUGACUAAAUGAUUAAACAACAACAACAACAUAGAUUCAAAAUGUGGCAUUAACCAACAAUUAAGUCUGAAGAUUUCUAAAUAACACCCAUACUGAAUGUAUCUCAGUAUUUAUAUACUGCCCUGUCAUAAAAUAUCAGGAUAGAGUACAGCAAUAUAAAAACAUAAAAACAAGACAGAACAAUCUUUACUUUAAAAUGAGAAUCUUUUCAUCACAAACAAGACUUCAACAGGCAAGAAAAUGUGAAAAGCAAGGAAGCACUGUUGAGGCCAGUUGGGCCUCUGCAUUGUGGUCCUCUGAUCUUGUAGGGGUUCCUCAAGGCAGACAAAAGGUAAUUUGCAUUGAUUCUCCAAUGCUAUUAACUUUUUUGUUGCUAGCAAAACUUGCAGAGAUAAGGGCACAAGGCAGCAGCUUGAGCCUGUAAUUAAGUCAAUAUAUAGAAUAGUUUGCACACAGCAGCUGAUACUAUUACAACUAAGAGUCUUUGGGGGCUGUAAAGACCAACAAAUGUUAUUAUGGCAUAUGCUUCUAUUACAAUGUCUGCUAUUUCUUAGUCCUUCAUCAGGAAGAAGUGAAGAACUUUUAUAAGGUAAUUAGAUGAAGUAGUUAUCCAUAUCAAUGACAUGUGAGAUUAUUACAUUUAUGGAAACUUUAUAUCUGUCCCAUUUAAUUCUGUUUCCACGUUUCUAUUCCGUAUACCUUGUUUUGCAUUUAAGACAGAACCACAGUAAAAAGCUUGUUGAUCUUUUGUAUUAUUGUGUGGAUUUUACUUUUCUAUUGGUAUCCCCCCCCCAGGUUUUUAUAAUGCUAGCCACAAAACAAAUAAAACUAAAAUUAGAAUUAAAACUAUUGAAAAGCAGGUGCAGCAUGUGGGUAAAAUCUGUCUGGAACAAAAGAUACCUCUAAUAACUACAUUAUGUAUCUGCACUUACAGACUGCAGUUUCUGUAGAAUUAUGGAAAUCCUGCGUUUGUUUUCAGCGAAAUGUUGCCUGGUAAUAGUUAAGAAAGACAAGGAUAAAAAGAAGCAAGAGAUGAGAAAAAUGGGAUGGGGAGGUAUGGCUUUUGUGUGUGUCAGUUGAGCAAGACAGAUUAUCAGAGUGUAAUUUGUUGGUUUGAGGCAAUAUUUUGAAAGUCAAAACACUCCAGAAUGACAUUGAAUGCUGUAUUGUAGUCCUUAGCAGGGCCAGAUUUAGGUUUGAUGAGGCCCUAUGCUACUGAAGGUAAUGGGGCCCUUUAUAUGUCCAGCUGUCCUUUGUCAGCAACAAAUUGUCGCUGUUUUUUGUGUACCGCUGUAUACAGAAAUGAGCAAACCAGUGAUAUUUUAGGGAGCAGGCUAGCAGGCGGGGCCCAAUACUUAUAUCAAAGGAGCCUACACAACACAAAACACUGUUGCUGUAUGUAGGUUUUAUUUUAUUUGUUUUUUAUCUUAUAUUUUGAAAAUGCACAUCCAGGGUUUUUUUUCCUUUAAAUUUUUUUGGGGGCCCCAAGCGAGUGGGGCCCUAAUCUAUAGCUUGUUUAGCUUAUACGUAUAUCCGUUCUUAGUAUGCAUACAUGCUUCCUAAGUAUAGUAAGUUAGAGGAACUUAGGUUGACUUAAAUUAAGCCUGUGUAAGUCACCCCUUACACAGUGCUCACUGGAAGGAUAGAUCCUGAAGCUGAGACUCCAAUACUUUGGCCACCUCAUGAGAAGAGAAGACUCCCUGGAAAAGACCCUGAUGUUGGGAAAGAUGGAGGGCACAAGGAGAAGGGGACGACAGAGGACGAGAUGGUUGGAUAGUGUUCUUGAAGCUACCAGCAUGAGUUUGACCAAACUGCGGGAGGCAGUGGAAGACAGAAGUGCCUGGCGUGCUCUGGUCCAUGGGAUCACGAAGAGUCGGACACGACUAAACGACUAAACAACAACAACAACAAGUCACCUCUGUGGGGCUACUACUGCCUGAGCCAACCUGAGCUGGGCAGAGGGAAGUUUUGAGUUUGACGUACACCAUCCUUUUCAUAAGUUCCACAAGGUCACCUGUGGAAUAUGACUGGAUAGAAAGAGGUUUGUAAUAAGUGUUUCUUCUUGCUCCAUCCUUCCUGAAGAAUCAGAGGUGGAUUUAGGGCAGUGUGACCUGUUGUACUGUACUGGAUGCUUAGCCUAAGGGGUGUCAGGGACUGGUCUGAAGAGAGGGGCUGCAAAAUGCCCUCUCCUUUUUUAAAAAAAAAAAUUAUUAAUUUUCAACCAUUUAAACACAACAAAACAGAAAGACAAAAAAAAGAAAGAACAAAAAAAGAAAAAAAGAAAAACAUAAAACUAACAAAGCAUAACACAAACCAUUUCAAACACAGAACAAUUUCAAUGUCUUAUCUUUCAUUCCCUUAUUUCCACGACCUCCUCACACCUCCCUUUCUGUUUUCCACUUCUAUUAAUUAUUUCAGCAAUUCCUUUCCAUCUUCCUCUGUUUUCUAUCCUAUAAUUAUCUUAACAUAUUCUAGCCUUAUUUUCCCUUUAAUACACUGUUAAUCUAUUUAUACUUGAUUCCUUAUAGCAUUUCUACUAAAGCCAUAUAACUUCAUUCCAACAUUUUUCUAACAUUCAUUAUUUUUACAAUAUUUCUAUAAAUAGUCUUAAACUUUUCCCAGUCUUCUUCCACCAGCUCUUCUCCCUGGUCUCGGAUUUCUGCCAGUCGUUUCCGCCAAUUCCAUAUAGUCCAUCAACUUCACCUGCCAUUCUUCCCGAAUGGAUAAAUCUUGUGUCUUCCAGUACUUCACAAUGAGUAUUCUUGCUGCUAUUGUUGCAUACAUGAAACAAAUUCUAUCCUUCUUUAACACCAAUUGGCUGACCAUGCCCAGGAGAAAGGCCUCUGGUUUCUUCAAAAGGGUAUAUUUAAAUACCUUUUUCAUUUCGUUAUGAAUCAUCUCCCAGAGUGUCUUAAUCCUUGGGCAUGUCCACCAAAGGUGAACUCUAAUCCUCAAAUUCGUCUGUUUUUCCUUAAGUUCAGUCAUAACGAGCGUCAACUUAUGUUCAUCAAAUUGCCUCUGUAGGACUGGGGCUCUCUUUCUCUUUCUCUCCAAUAGUGUUACUUUACCUUCAGCAGCAACAGCUUUUUCCCUGACUUCCUCCACAGCUUGCCAUAUCAAAAUAGGUUCUUGUAUCAAUUUCUGGGUGGUUUCUGUAUUGGUAUUAUCCAUACUCCCUGCAUUCAAGUCAACCUCAGCAAUUGAAACAUCCACUUUCGCAUUUAUCAUGUCCAUUUUCCUGUGAAGCUGAUCCAAUGAGUCAUUUAUCUUAUAUAAUGCAGCCACCAAAGCCUCUUCUGUCGACAUUCCUCUUGGUUUCAAAUAUACUAGUACAAAGACAGCAACAAAAAGAACAGGAGGGCCUAAUGAUAGACCUCUCCUGGAUUGUUACCAAGUCCUCCCAGACCUUAAUGUUUUGUCAGCAGUUGACUGGUCUGUUUUUCCUCUUCCAUUUACCAUAACAUUUGAAAGAUUCAAGGUCAGUCCCAGAGUCUCAUGGUUUUUAACUUGCAGCUGGAAAUUCCCCUAGUCCAACUCUUGUAAAGCAACCAGUUUCAAAGGCUUCCACUAGGGGGAAACAGUUUCUAUUUGUAAUAGUCAAUAGUAUCCUCUUUUAAACAAUCCAAAGUUAGUUUCAAAUUAGUUUCAAUUUUCAGUUACUUUUACUCCUUUUUAAAGCAGCCGGAGACAGUAGAAACAAUGUAUUUCUCUUGUUUAACUAGCUGUCAGUGAACGUUCUAAGCGCUGUCAAUGAACAUUCCAAAAGACGUCAGUCCUACUAGCAGCCCGUUUCCAGGGUCAGAGCGGCGGUGUUUUAAGUCUCUUCGCUCUCUCCUGCAGGCAUGCUCAAUCCGCAACUUCCCCCUCUCUUCUCCUGCCUCCAAGAGGGGGUUUAAUGUUCUUUACCGUUGGAAAUUUGAUCUUUUACAAAAGACCUUCCAGGACUCCAGCUUACAACUUCAUUGCCUCAGUCUAUUUACAAAAGGGGAAGGCGUUCCUGUUUUGAACCUCCCCGUUACGGUACCAAAUUAAACAUUUAGAAAUCCAAUUCUUCCGCUUCAGCUCUACUCACGGGUAAUUACUUUAAAGUCAAAUUGUCCACAGGAAAAGGUCAGCGCUCUCCGGCAACAGCUAUGCGGCUUCGCUCCGUGGAAGAAGCAGACGAUUCGAUGCACCGCGCCGCUCACCCCACGUCGCUCCAGAGCCCCAAAAACCGGGGUUCCCCACGAGUGGGGGAGGCGCAAAAGGUGCCCGCCGAAUCCCACGUUCACAGGCUUCUCCCGCCUGUGAUUUUAACGGGUCUCCGCCUUCGCCGUGGCGGCCAGACCCAGAUUCCCACGGAGCGGAUUCCUCCCAGUCAAAGGAAUUCCACCAUUACCGGAGGCGCCUCCCCGGAAGUCUCCAAAAUGCCCUCUCCUUCCCCUCUGCCUCUUUCAGAGGAGGCAGGGGAAUGGGAAGAGUGCCCCCCCCAUUCUCCAGUAGCUGCAAGAAGCGAUGGAGACAGGACUGAUUUACGACAGGACAGAGAACUGCCAAGUUUUGAGGUAUUGAGAGAAGGAGGGGGAGUUGGAGAACAGAUAAUAGACACAUCCGAAGAAGAAGAGGAGGAGGAGGAGGAGUUUGAAUUUGAUAUCCUGCUUUAUCACUACCUGAAGGAGUCUCAAAGCAGCUAACCUUCUCCUUUCCCUUCCUCCCCCACAACAAACACUUUGUGAGGUGAGUGAGGCUGAGAGAUUUCAGAGAAGUGUGACUAGCCCAAGGUCACCCAGCAGCUGCGUGUGGAGGAGCAGGGAAUCGAACCCAGUUCACCAGAUUACGAGUCUACCACUCUUACCCACUACACCACACGGGCUCUAGAGAGCCUGGGAACCUGCUCCCACUUCUCCAAGGACACGCCGGUCAAUCAGGAUUCAUGAACAAAGAAUGCAGAGAUGUGUGAGUUCUGAGACUUUUUGUAAGGACACCAGAUGUUGUCAGGGAAGGAAAAGUAGGGGCUCAGAGUAAGCAAUGUCAUAAUGGCAUCCAAGUCUAGAUUCGUUGUUCUGCUCCAUGAUUACUGAAUAAAACCAUAAAAACAAGCUUCCUUGUUUCUUCUUUGAUCCUGGAGGCUACCAGGGGAGGAGAGAAUCCCUCGAGUCUGACAAGGGGCAAGAGGCAGGGGGCGCCCAAUUUUGGCCUUGCACAGGGCACCACUGAAAUCAAAAGACCCAAGUCCACCCUUGGCAGAAUACGUGUAGGUAAGAAUUAAAUAGGACAGAUAUACCGUUUCCACAAACGUAAUAAUUUCGCUGACUUGGAUAACUAAGAUAACUAAUUGAUCCAGUUCAGCAGAUACACUGAUUGGGAAAACAGGUACCCAUCACUCACUUCCGAGUCUCUGUUACCAGAUACAGCAUUAGGUGGAACCCACUCAAUGGAAUUCCACUUUUACUGGAUAGAUUGAGAAAGCAGGUUUUGCCUUGCAGCCCUCAGUGCCUCUGGAGAAGGUGCUCUAGAGGGUUGGGUAGUCCUCUAGACCAGCAUGAGAGGAACUGCAGGGAGGAGAAUAUCUUAAACAUUGUCCCCUACCUCCAACAGGGAGCCUGGGCUGGAUCUUGUUGCCUUCUGUGAAUGGAAGGGUCCAUUUGCUUGCAGAACGGUCAAUUCAGAUUCAACUAGAACUGCGCACAAACAACUCUGAGUACUUUCCCUCUAUUUGGGGACAGAGAAAUCGGGGAAACCAUUUCACCAGAUUUAUCCAGGGGGAGGAGGAAUUCUUCAAUGAUUUCUGAGUAGCGAGGCUCCCCAUUUGCAGUAACACAACUCUCUUUUUACUUCCUAACUAUUGUUUUCAUUCUUGCUGCUGCAAUGCUUCCGCAACUGCAGCAAGUGUUUUGGUGGCAUGACGCCAUUUUGUAUCCCCCAGGACGGUGGCCACCACAAAAGGGGGUGGGAUAAUAAUUGGAGAAAAUUCUGCAAAGUGGUAUCUGUAUCUAGGAGGGUGGGAAAAAGGAAAAUCUAAGAAAUUUUGUUCUGAGAAAUUUUGGCUCUACUCUUAGAUCCAGCCAGAUUUAUUUUGUUUGCUGCCGCCUCUGCUUUAUGGAUGUGGAUGCCUCAACUGUUUGGGGAUGAUUUAUUUCACUGAUGAAUUGCUGAAGCUGUUAUGUUUCCACUGCUUUCCAUCUUUCAAAAGGUUCCAGAGAGACCCACAUACAUCAUUAACCUGAGAAGCAUGGAUAUUAAAUUAUAUACAUUGAGCUGAAGGAAAAAAUUGAACAUUCUGUUAGCUUCCAAAAGUACUUAGCAGACAAAUUUUUGUAUGUGUACAUGUGUGCAUGCUUGUAUAUUGGUUGUAUAGUUCUUGUUCUUAUUAUAUAUUGCUUGUAUAGUUCUGACAAAUGUAACCACGUUGUCUUUUUAAUAAUGAAAAUAACCAAUCAGUGCCCUGCUAACACUUGCUUGGGAGUAUCUGUAUUGCAACCGUUACAUGUACAACUAUUCCUAAUAAUCUCAUUGUUUAGUAGCGGUUAUUUAUUGCACUGCAUGUAGCAACUUGAGUUUCUUACCUUAGACCUGAAUUGCAAUCCUGAAACUUUUUAUUUACCAUUGCCCUACUUUCAAAUAAGAGGUCCUAUUAGUAUGCAGGGAUGAAUCCUUUUCUUCUUAUUAUUUUGUAUAGGGCACAAGUAAUGUGACUCAGGUGGCACUGUGGGUUAAACCACAGAGCCUAGGACUUGCCGAUCAGAAUGUCGGAGGUUUGAAUCCCCGUGACGAGGUGAGCUCCCGUUGCUCGGUCCCUGCUCCUGCCAACCUAGCAGUUCGAAAGCACGUCAAAGUGCAAGUAGAUAAAUAGGUACCGCUCCGGCGGGAAGGUAAAUGGCAUUUCUGUGUGCUGCUCUGGUUUGCCAGAAGUGGCUUAGUCAUACUGGCCACAUGACCCAGAAGCUGUACACAGGCUCCCUCGGCCAAUAAAGCGAGAUGAGCACCGCAACCCCAGAGUCGGCCAUGACUGGACCUAAUGGUCAGGGGUCCCUUUACCUUUACCUAAUGUGACUGUAGCAUCAUCAAGAUUAUGCUUGUUAAAACAUAAGAAGAGCUCUGUAGGAUUUAGUCCAGCCAUUCUAUUCCAGCAUUCUGCUUCCCAUAGUGGGGAUGAAGGCACUAUUCUCAGACACUACAGUGGUACCUUGGGUUACAGACACUUCAGGUUACAGACUCCGCUAACCCAGAAACAUUACCUCGGGUUAAGAACUUUGCUUCAGGAUGAGAACAGAAAUCAUGCGGUGGUGGCGCAGCGACAGUGGGAGGCCCCAUUAGCUAAAGUGGUACCUCAGGUUAAGAACAGUUUCAGGUUAAGAACGAAUCUCCAGAAUGAAUUAAGUUCUUAACCCGAGGUACCACUGUAUUUGAAGCUGCUUCUGUGCUUCUGCUUGUCUUCAAUAAACCUCAACAGAAUUGUACCACACAUGGCGCAGAACAACCUCAACCCAUGGCACGUAACCAAUCAACACUGCUUACAGACAUACACAAAAUCAACACCACCACCAUGAUAGCCCCAAAGGUUACCACAAACUCAGUCCUCGCAGCAAUUCCACCCUGCCCCUCUGCAGUGGAUAUGUACACUAUUUUUUUCCACCUAUGUACGCUCAGGAAACCUUUUUGAUCAUUUGUCAAUUUUCUACCAACAUCUUAAAAUCUUCAGCUGAAAAGAAUUUUGUGUUCUGGGAGAUACUGAGAAUGAAUUGAUCAAUCAAAGUAUCAAAUAAAUGAGAGUCAUUUCCUAUGAUUUACUGGUGACCAACGUGCAACAACAACAACAACAACAAUUUAUUAUUCAUAUGACACCCAUCUGAUUGGGUUGCCCCAGCCACUCUGGCGGCUUCUAACAAAUUAAAACAUUAAGCACAUAAAACAACAACAACAACAACAAUAAUAAUUAUAAUUAUUAUUAUUAUUAUAUUUAUACCCCGCCCAUCUGGCUGGGUUUACCCAGCAACUCUGGGCUGCUGACAACACAUUCAAAAAUGUAAAACAUUAGACAUUAAAAAUUUCCUGAUACAGGGUUGCCUUUGAGUGAAAAAGUGGGGAUUCUUCCAUAUGGGGAGUUUGAAAAUGUGGUCAACGUUCUUGUGCCAUGGUUAGUUUUUGCAAUAUACAAGUGUCAUGUUUACAUGAAAAAUCAUCAUCUAUAAUCUUUAAACAUUCUCUGUAGGAUCAGCCAUGUGAUUGUUUGUUCUGUCUUCAUUAAUUUAGAAACCUUCAUCCUUGGCAGAGGCUGCCAGUGAACAAUAACCCAGCAGUCUUAUCUAAAUUGAGUGUGAGCUGAUUUUCAUGAAGUCAGUUUGUUGCUUUCACAAGCAGAGCAUGAAGAAUAGUGUUAAUCUUUUUAGCACUCUUAUCAGAUAGCUGCAGGACAAUAUCAUCAGCAUACAUGUAAAUAAAAGAUUUAUCACACAGAUGUAUAUGUGUAUAUGCAUAGAGACAGAGAAAGAGAGAAAUCUCUUAGCUUUGGGUACUAAUGAUAGUAUCUAGAAAAACAAGCCCAUCCAGAUUUAAAAAUCCUUGCCUUUCCUCUCCCGACAAGAUAGCAAUCAUUGGAAUUUUAAGGUUAGAAUACCUAAUCCAGAAAAUGGGUUGUGAUGAGCUCACGUACAUGCAAAAUAUUCUUGAGUGGUGUGUCAAGGUCUUAUAUUUGAGUCUCUUAUCUGAGAAGAGAAAUAUUUAAUUUGCAAAGCGAAAGUCCUAUAAUUUCACUUGAGCGAUGAACAGGAGUCAUUAAAGGAAUGUGACUAAGUACAUGGAUGAUGCUGUUCCCUGGUGGGAUAAAAAGGUAGAAAUUCAUUGAUUGAUUGAUUGAUUGAUUGAUUGAUAACAAUUUAGAGGCUGGGGUGGGAAUGAGUGAUUUCACCAGCCAGCACGGCAGCAGGAGAACAGCCUUUUCCCAGCUAAGGUUUUUCACCUCUUAAAGUCAUUGGUAACGCAGAAAGUAAAAUUUACUGCCAUUUCCACACAGUGCAAUGUCUCCGAAUGGGAAUGAAAAAGACUGAUCACUACUAAUUACAUUUAUGGGUAUGAUGCAGUGGGCUUCGCGGAACAGGUUAUUACUAUACAAAUCCUUUAAAAAAUCUUUGAGUCUAUAGGAUGAAUUGUAAAUAACCUAUAAUUAUGAUGGCUGUCAGUAGAACUACUGUUGUGCAGAGGAAUCACUUUAGCAAUUUCCAAAAAAUAUAGUACAGCUGCCAACUAGCAACCCUGUGUCUUUUUGUUUUGUUUUGGAGGCUGCCAUAAGUCAGGGCUGAUGUUUUCAUCAGUCUAUCACAGAUAUUUACAGAAGAUAAACAUUUUCUAGAGACUUCUGAGAUCCAGAAAGCAGAUAAAAGGAGCAUGAAUUUUGUGGAAUUAUGACAAGACAGAGUACUUUCAUAAAUCCCACAUUAACACGAGUGACUUGCAAGUCAACGGUGCAUUUCAAUAGGAAAUAACAAGAAAUGAGAAAUAAAAAUGCCAACCAGUUUCAGGUCAGAAUUGUUACAGUGAUUGAUACAAUUCUAAGCAUACAUCAACUAGGUGGAACACAUAUCUAAGGGAACAUAUUUAUUCCAUGAUCAAUCCCUCUGUAUAAUUUGUUACAGGGAGGAACUGAUUGGCAAAGUGGAAGUACUGGAACCCUUGCAAAGAACUGAUCGUGUCCUCUUGCGUUUCAUGAAACAGAGGCAAGGGAAAGCUAAUUACAGUGGUACCUCGGGUUACAUAUGCUUCAGGUUACAUACGCUUCAGGUUACAGACUCCGCUAACCCAGAAAUAGUGCUUCAGGUUAAGAACUUUGCUUCAGGAUAAGAACAGAAAUCGGGCUCCGGCAGCGCAGCAGGAGGCCCCAUUAGCUAAAGUGGUGCUUCAGGUUAAGAACAGUUUCAGGAACGAAUUAAGUAGUUAACCUGAGGUACCACUGUAUAGUCAGACAUGCACCCUGGACUUUAAGAACACUGAUUUUUUUAAAAAGAAAACUUAAGGAACUACAGUUCUAUCUUGUUUUCGAACAGCUUAGUUCUCAAACGUUUUGGCUCCCGAAUGCCACAACCCAGAAUGGACUGUUCCAGUUUGCGAGUUAUUUUUGGACGCCAAAUGUCCGACAGAGCUUCCUGCAGCCAAUCAGAUUUCAGAAAGAUUUCUUUGGUCUGUUUAUACCACGUUUGGCAUCGCAGGUGACCUUGAGAUGAAAGCAUCCUCUUAAGACCUACAAACUGUGAUAAUAGGAUACUGCACUUGACAUUGUCUUCAGUGCUUCCCUUAAACUAAAAGCAUAAACAGGUGUAAUAUGGAUUCAUUUUAGAGAUAUAAUACAAAUAUGGGUUAAUAUUAUUACAGAAUCAGGCACAUUUUUCUUGGAGAAAUGCCUUGAUGCAUGAAUUUUGGGGUGUGCGUGUUGCACAAAAUAAGCAUGAAUAUAAAAUGCUGCAUCUGACAGUUCUAGAAACUGCACAUGUAUCUCAGGACACAUGGUUGUUUUGCACAUUCACUCCCCACCCCCACGCCAAGAAUAUAUUCCUUGAUUACUUCUUUAGCCACUUAGAGGCACCAUAACAAUUACUGGAAAUGUCUCAAUUUCUUGUAAUAUUCUGCUCUCAUCGUAUUCAGACAUUUUCACACAGGGCAAGCCAGAUGAAAACCACACGGGCAUUUAUAGUGUCAGCAGUUAGACUGCUGUAGCUAUUAAGGAGGCGGCUCAGUUUUCAACAUGCUUUCCAAUAAAAGUCCAUCCCAAGGGGCAGAACAUGAGGAAUAGGAUGAAAGUGGUUAAGUCAAUACAAGAUUGACUCCAUUACUCUUACCAUCUGUUUAUCACGGACUGUGUUAAAGUUGUUUUGCUCUCUUUUAUUGACUAAGGGAUAUUAAUAUUGCUUGACAACUGCUUGGUGUAUACAAUAAAUGGUUGCCUCGUUUUGUUGCCUAACAGCUGUUGAUUCACCCAUGCAAACAUGUUCAUGAAGCAUCAAUCAUGUAUUUAAAACGUGAGCAGCUCUCACUGUACACGUGGUUGGAGAGUAUUUGACAAUGUAGAAAUACGGCUAGUAGGAGUUAAUGACAGGGCUGCACAAAUAACUCUCUCUCUCUCUCUGCCUUAAUGAACUACACAUCAAUCACACUGGAAAGAUGACUUCUUCCCCAUAGCUAAAAUACCCUGCAGUUGUGCAGAUAACAGUGCUUGCCAAAAUAGCACUUGAACCCAAAGGCAACCAUUUUCAGCCUUGAUGGUUCGUUUCAAACUUAUGUACAUAGCUAUUAUAUGUGAGGAAGAAGAAUGGCACAACGAGAAGCAGGUUAAAGCAAAGAAGACUUGUGAUGUAACAUAACUGAUGUGUCUGAUUGUGCUGCAUUGCAGCCUUUUGUCUUUAUUUGAGGGGAAAAAAUCAUCAUUAUGAAGGCAGGAAAAGGAUGAAUUAGCAAUGUAAUUUGACUAGAUAGAACUUUAAAAGUUCAAACUGAGCUUUCAAAAAGAUCAGUUCCAGAAAUUUCAUCACAUUUUCUUGGUUGUUGUCUUCUCCGGGUGAAUAUCUGCUCCACGGUGAACAUUCCAAAUUGUUCAUCUGACUUGUCAAACUAUUCAGACUGUAAAAUAAUCUGCAUUAGUGUACAUGAGAUAUAAAUGGGUGAAUCUGUCAACUUAUUCUUCCACAUCUCAAAUUCAGUUCUUCACAUUUCCACAUCAGUGUGCAAUUGUUAUUAUUUUAAAAGUCCUCAUGAAAAGUCAUCAGCACUUCUGUGUGAAUUUCUCAUAAUAAACACAUUUUGAAUGCAAUUCAGCCUAACAGGGUGCCAUAGAGGCACCCCCAUACAGUGGUGCCUCGCAAGACGAAAUUAAUUCGUUCCGCGAGUUUUUUCGUCUAGCGAAUUUUUCGUCUUGUGAAGCACGAAAUCCCAUAGGAAUGCAUUGAAAUUCAAUUAAUGCGUUCCUAUGGUUAAAAAAAGUCCAAACAAAGCCAAAUUUGGUACAACAAGAGUUUAUUAAGUGCUCUUUAAAGUCACACAUACUGUAAAGAGCAUUUCAAAAAUUGAAGGAACAAUAAAUUAAGUUUCUAAACAUGACAGAAAAACAUUUAAAAAUCAACAAAGUGUACAGUACACAGAAAUUCAAACCCAGAUUUUUUUUUAAAAAAAACAGCAGAGUGGCCCAAUGGUCACAGAAAAUCAUAAAAAUGCAGGAAAAAACCACACAAGCUUCCAGAUUCUUGCAAACCCCUCCCCAACUGUUUCCCCAGCCACCCACCACACAGAAAUUCAAAUCCAGAUUUUUUAAAAAAAAAACCAGCAGAGUGGCCCAAUGGUCAAAGAAAAUCAUAAAAAUGCAGAAAAAAACCACACAAGCUUCCAGAUUCUUGCAAACCCCUCCCCAACACCAAGUCCUUGAAUUCCAAACACCCCAACCCAAAAUCCAAAAACCCCAAAAAAGUUUUAAAAGUUUAACUUACCAAAUGGCUGCAAAAGAAGUUUUGGAAAAGCUUCAAAAAUCACCAAAGUCUUCAAAAACCUCAAAAAAGGCUACCACACUGCAUGCUAUGAGUUGCUCCUCAAAGUCAAGUCGCAACUGCACCUCUUCAAGCAAUGCAUCCUGGGUAUUAACGGUUUUACGAAAAAGGAAACAAACUUGCAAGACGUUUCCGACUUGCGAAGCAAGCCCACAGGGAAAUUCGUCUUGCGAAGCACCUCAAAAAACGAAAAACCCUUUCGUCUAGAGAGCUUUUCGUCUUGUGAGGCAUUCGUCUUGCGGGGCACCGCUGUACUAUGUUGAUCCUGCCCAAUUCCAUUUUCACCCACAACAAACAUUCUUCUGCCCAACAAAGGAAUCCCAUAACUGCAAUGAGUAAAAGGUGAAAAAAUCCCAACCAAGUUAAGAGCAAAAAUUCCAGCCAGUGAUCCAAAAUUGCUCAGCGAAGGCUCUAAUCUGAGGGUGGAUGGGCGGGAAGCUCUCAAUGCAAAAUGGCCCUGGGGAAGCAGCCUUAUAGAGGCCUUCCCCUCCCCUUUGAAAAGACUCAUAGGACAGCUUUUCCCCAUGAACCCACAGCAUGGACAAGAUACCAGGCAAAAGCUUGCCCAGUAUUUUUCUGCAAAUUAUGGGCCCCAGUGCCACCGGGCAAAGGCAUCCUGCAGUUAUUGAGCAUGGCAUGAGGCUUAUAAAGAGAUGCAUCCAAAACACCAGCAAAUCAAAGACCCCCUCUUUGUCCGUAGAUAAGUUUUGCAACUUGCUGCUGGUUUUGUUACCAUCCUAUUCAAAAAUCAGGAAGAUUCAUGAGGAUCUGUGUAUUGGAGCAGUGCUUCAGUGGUCCCAACAAGUUCUUGAUCUGUGACUUUUACUAUGCAAUCUAGCAAAUGCAAGCUUUAACUUGAUGGUGCUUUUUGGUGCUGGGAGGAGCUAGCAAAAUAAUGUUGAUUCAGAGGAUCCAUUUUAAUUCUGUUGGCUCUGAAUUUUACCCAAACCCCAUGAAAAAGCAAAAUGUGGGUGGGUGGCAAAGCUUCAGUUAAUUAAAUGGUGAUGAUAAUAAUGAUGGAAAAGGAGGAGGACUGUGUAACCUUCCUUGUUUCUGGCAAUAAACAAGGGAAUAUUUAAAAAAUUGCAGCAUGAACCCUUGUAAGCAUGAGUCUGAUCUAUUAGAAUUACUUGUUGAAGUAGGCUCUUUCCUACAAAGCUAAUUCCGCAAAAAAACCCCACUUAACCAUGGUUGUUAAAAUGCCACACUGAUUUUGCUACAAUAGACUAAUGUAGUGCAUAUUCUCAGAUAAUGAAGUUGCCUUAAACCAAACUGAGAAAGAACUAAAUAGAGUGUAACUUAGUGCUCGUGGAAAGUGGAGUAGUCUUCCUUUUAAAUGAAACAAAAAAAAUCCUGAUCUCUGAUAAAUGCUAUAGAUCAGGAAAAAGCAAAUGUUAUAAGUUUGACCUUCAACGCCUCCCAUGCCACAUUGGAAUGGAUAAUUUCUCCUGAACAGGAUCCUCAACUGCACUACCGAUAUUCCUUGCACUGAAAAGAGCACACUAGCAACUACAAAUGCUUUCUGCUUUCCAACUCUCGAGUCAAGCAUUAAAAGUCAGGGUAAAUCCUGAUGAUCUUAACUUGAAAGAAUGAAAGGAUGAACUGCUUGGAAUGAAGACUUACAAAAAUGCCUCUGAAAUUUCUGACUCUCGCUACAUACACUUCCAAUUCUCUGUGCAACCUACACUAUUAGCUGAGGUGCCACGGGAGCUCUCAAACUCAUGGCUGUAUUGUUUAACUUUUACUGCAUUCUGAAACUGUUCUGGAAAGUUUAAUUAUCAGAGUGGAUGGGUUUACAUUCAUGGACAUGCAUUCAGCUGUGCACACAUAAGUUUGCACGUCUCCUACACUCCAGAUUCUUUUGCACACUGUACUUAGAGAUAAAGUAUUCUUCUCAAUCAGAUAUUUAAAAGGCUAAGUUCAUUUCUGCUUGAAUCAUUCUCUAUGUCAAACCCUAUUAGUAAUCACACACUUAUCAGUACAGAAGGAAUGCAUAAGCUACAGCACUUUUAAAUCAAUUGUCCAUUCGAAAUUUCAAAAACACAAAUGCAUACAACAGCAUACGUUUGCCCUCUUCCUUGUCCUUCCUUCCUUCCCACACCUCCCUGUGUUUGAAGGCAACGUCUACUAAGAUAAGACUAAAUCAAGAUAAAAUAAUCUACACCAGGUGUGGGAAAUAUUUGUCCUUCCAGGUGUUACUGAACUGCAACUCCCAUCAUGCUUGCUUGGCCAAAAAAUUGGCCACAUCUGGAGGAGGAAAGUUUCCCCAACCCUGAUCUACAUUGAAAAAGGAGAUAAAAUAAAUAGAUUAAGAUAAAGAAAGCAGUGGGAGAACAAGGAAAUGUCAGGGUCCACUUCUGCAUGAUGCAUCUCUCAUUCCGUUGCUCCCCACAAAAAAAAAAUAAUAUUCUGUAAAAAGCUCUAAAAACCCAUUUCAAAUGUUAUGACAGUGUGGCAUAGCGGUUAAGAGCGGUGGACUCGUAAUCUGUUGAACUGGGUUCAAUUCCCUGCUUCUCCACAUGCAGCUGCUGGGUGACCUUGGGCUAGUCACACUUCUCUGAAGUCUCUCAGCCCCACUCACCUCACAGAGUGUUUGUUGUGGGGGAGGAAGGGAAAGGAGAAUGUUAGCCGCUUUGAGACUCCUUCGUAGUGAUAAAGCGGGAUGUCAAAUCCAAACUCUUCUUUUUCUUCUUCAUUUUGCUUUUACUGAACAGGAUCUGUACACGAGCCGCUUGCUGUAGAAGGCCUUGUAUCCCUCCCAGAAUGUCCAGUGUACUGUGAGAUUUCCAGUGCUGGAGGAUUGUUCUCUUUGCAAUUAGGUGACCAGGUGAAUCUGAUCGGCUACUGUGAAAACAGGAUGUUGGACUAGAUGGGCCAUCUAGCAGAGACUCCUUACGUUUUUCAAAUUUGCUACCCUGGAUCAGGUUCUGCCUACAUUGUGCCAAAUGCCUUUUCCACUCCUCGGUUUCCAUACGAUUAGCCUUGUAGGCUAAUGUGAGGAUCUCCCCAAAUGAUAAAGCAGAAGUAAUCGGCCCAUGAGUCAAUGCUAGCCAUUCACAUCUGACAGACUGAGUGCCAUUUUGAGACAGGACAGUUCAGACUUUGAAUUCA